rnacentral:lncRNA from 1 species
GGGAAAUCUCCUAGCAUUGUUAAAAGAACUAUAAAAUCGGGGAAAACUACUUGACAUCAUAAUGUUGGGAAAGGUAGUGUUGGUUAUGCAGCCUUCUCUCCUGAAAUUUUUUUCAAUGGAAAUAAUAUCAAAGGCAGCAGAAGGUCAAGCAACCAUGAUAAUAUACAACUUGCUUCAUGCCAAGUAAGAAAGGGAAACAUCUCAAACAGCGCCAAUAAGAAUUUAGAACUGUAUGCACAGCUAAAAUCCGCUGAAAGCUGAACAUCAGUACAGGAUGACAUUCACAACAUAACAUAUCAGAAUCACAAAUAGCAACAAUAUGGCAAACCAAAACCCAGUUAACAUAAAUAAACUGUGGAUGUUACAUAAUCUUCAAAAGUCAAAACCCAGAUAGCAAAAGCUAUGCACGCAAAAAUACAAUCUCUUUAACUUCUCCAAUUGAACAAAGCAAAACUGUAAGUGGGUAUCAAAUAACCCUAAAAACUCAGAAAGCAAAAGCAAUAAACAGCACAAAAACACAACAAAUAAUUUCAUAACAUAACAAAUUAGAGCCAAAAUUAUAUAUAUAUAAAAGAAUUGAACCGAACCUUUUAAAAGAAGUGAGAGGGACAUUAGGAGAGGAGCAAGGAGACCACUUUCUGGUGGUGAGAUUCGUGGAGACUCCCAUGACCGUUAUCAAGUUCCCAACUUUUGUUCUGCUAAACAGCAGCUUGUUGCCAGCGGUGCUUGUGCUUGUAAGAGCCGUUUUGAAGGGUUUAAGAGGGGGCAGAACAGUAAUAAAGGUGGGAUUUUGAGGGUGGGGUUUAAGAGUGUGGCGGGUCUGUGUCUGUUUCUGUAGCUGAAAUACCGAGUGUGGCCAUCAACGGUCAGAACUCAGCAGUCGGCACUACUUGACGAGCCAGCGACAAUGGUUACAGCUAAAACCCUUCGUUGCACUGGCGCCUUUAUUAUUACUUUUUUAUUUUAUUUUUCAAUUUUUUGCUUUUGGGUAAUUUUUGAAAAUAGCCGUUCAGGUAUGGCGUAUUUGCAAAAUAGAUGUCAAGCAUUGUUUAUUUUUUAAAACCCUCUGCAAAAUUUUGAAGUUCGACAUUUGUUAACUGGUUAAGAGUAAAAUCAUAGAAAUACUUGACAAAGUGAAAUACUCAAGUUUUGCGUAUGUAAUCAUUCAUAAUUAUAAUAAGUUAUUAUUUGUUUGAGACUAAGUUUAAAUUAAAUUCUUAGACCCUUAGUAUAGUAAUAUUAUAUAAUCAUAAUAAAUAUCAGGUUAAAUUCAAUACGUUAAUACUUUUUGUCUUAAUUUAUUUAUAAAAAUUGUUAAAUAAAUAGACUGUUUACAUCUCUUUGCUCUUUCUUGAUAAAAUCUAAGCCAAAAACUGUCACUUUUGAGGUAAAAUUAAAACAAAAAAAUGAAAAAUAAAGAAAUAUCAUGUUUCUAAUUCUCACAUCAAAUUAAAUGCAAUGGUAAGUCAACAAAUAAAGAAUGGCUCGUUAAAAGACUAUCAAUUUUGUUAAACACAUUUUGAUUGCAAAAGUCACUGUCUAUAGACAUAAAGUAUUUUUGGAUUUGGUUUUUCUAGUGGAUCUAAAGAAACUAUUUUUUUGUUUAUAUGGCUUAUUUAAUAGUCAUAAGUAAUUAUUUAAUUUCAUAAGCUCUUUUCAAAUUUAUUUUUGUAUUUAAAUUUUUCAAAUAGAAUUUUUAAAAAUUAAAUAAGUUAUUUUACUUCUAUCUGCAAAAGCUCAAAUUUUAGGCUUUUAGAGUAGAAGUUUAUUUAAAUAUUAAAAUGUUUAAAAGAUCCUUUGUUCAUUGAUAAUUUUAUUUCAUUUAUUUUAUAAAAUAAUUUUUUAAAAAUUUAUUUAUUAAAAUAAUUUUAAACCUUUUAUUAAAUGCUCUUAUUGACAACUAAAUAAUUAAAAAAUAUUUAAAAAACACUCUAUUUGUAAAAGUUUUACUAACAAUAGUUCUACUUAAAUAAGUUUCAUUUGAAAAUCUAUAUUUAAUGGAGCUUAAAAGUAUCAUGAUCAUUUAUUAUUAUGUAUUGGUAUGAAUUUUGCUUUUUUUUUUCCCCUAAAUUGUUUCAUAUGCACUUUUACAAAGAUUUCUCUCUCAAGUCAGGCCUUCAUUGUAUCUAAGGGCGUUAUGAUACUUUCUCAGUUAAGUGAUGGUCAACAAAAAAUUUAACAGACGACAAGAGGAUUUUAAUCAAUAAAAUGACUUUUUCCAUCUAAUUGCAAAUAGAUCAUACCUCAGGGGAGGUUACUAAAAAGUACGCACAAGAGAACAAACAUUUUAUACAGUGAUUGACGUCGACUUUGCCACGUGGGUAAUUGUCAUGUGUGGCCGUGUAGUUUUUCAGAUUCUCUAUUAAUUUUUUAAAAUUUUUAUAAUAAAUCCCACUUUUUAACCAAAAAAAAGUAUUUAAACGGAAAUCAAAUCCCUUCGUGAUUUAUUAAAGUUUUGUCUGAGGUGAUGUGUUUGCAUUGUUUAAAAUUUAAAAUAAAUUAAAGUUAAGUUAUUUAACUUUUACUAUUAAGUGGUAUCUAUUUAAAAUUCAUAUAUAAAAUAAGAAAAACAAACAAGUCAGAUUUUAAAAUCAUAAAUUUUCAAACUUUAGAUAUUUAACACACAAAUCUUAGUAGUGAUUUCAUCAAAGAAUCAAUAAGUUUUUUAUUUUGGCGCUUCAUUAUUAGUUGGUUGCACCAUCUCAACAUAUUAAAAUGGUACGCUUGUCUUGCAAAAAAAUUUCCUUCUAAAAUGUUUAUGUGAAUAAAAUUCAAACAUAACCAAAUUUCAAACAUUUUCAUUACCUCGAGAAGUUUUUAAUGAUUGCACAACCUAAUUAGCAUAUAUUAUUGUUACUAAUUACAUUUUUUCCCAAAUACUGCAUAAUUUAAAGUAAACACCUGCUUGAUUGGUGAAUAAUGUGAAUAAAAUUUAAAGAAUAAAUUUUACCAAUUAAUAUAUAUUUUAUUGAAUAAUUACAUUAAAUAAUACACAUUAUUAAUUUGAAGUUUUCUUAAUACUAGAUUAGUGUACAUUGAGUAAAACCUUGGUUGUUCUUCAAUAUUCGAUAUCAUGCCUUGCCUUAAGGAUUUGACAUAUGAUUCCAACAUCAAUUUGGUGGAACAAUAGAAUCAUAAUAUUGUAGAAACUAUUUGAAAAUACUUGUUGAAGUUAUUGGGACAAAAAAAAAAGGGGUACAUCUGAUGUAGGAAAUAAAAAUAAUUUUAAAAAAUUUAAAUGGAAAAAUUGGAAAAAAUAAAUUGAACAAAAUAAACAUAAAAAAAGCUUAAUCAAGAUUUCAUUGUUGAUUAUGAUCUUUAGCUCAACUUGUGGCUCUGUCGUUGCUCUUCUGCUACAUUAAACAAACAGAACCACAAGAAAAUUCCCAGCAAACUAAAACCAUAAAUAAACUAAAGAUUAUUAAAUUAAUAGUAAUGGGGACUGAUUUAUAAAUAAAAAUCCCCAAAAAUGUGGAAAACAUGUACCUUGAAACAAUAUCAUUGCAGUGGACAACGAUUUGUUUUUUAAGUGUUUUUUUUUUAAUCUUUCUUAUUAGUGAAAAAAAUAGGUAAAAUUGAAUUUUAAAUUUUGAUACUAACAAUUGAACAAACUUUUUUCAUUGUAUUUAUAAUUAAACCAAUUUUUUCAUUAGAUUUAAAAAAAAAAUAGGAGAGACUACGAGAGGAUUGUAAGCCAAUUACAGUAUCCAUUUGCAUUCUUCUUCUUAUUUGAAAACUUUUGCCAUCCCUCGCACCAUCAUGCUUUGUUGUAGUUGUAAUUUCUUUAUUGUUUCUUUUUUUGUGAGCUAAAUACUCUAUUGCGGUUACGACAUCGCUCAUCUUGGCCUUGUUCCAGCUUCUUCUUGCAGACUCAUAUUGCUGCCACUGCAAGUUCUUUGGUGGUGUUUAGUUGGGAGGAGAGAAUAGAGGAAAAGAAAAUAAUUUAAUUUCUAUUUUUAUUUUCAUUGUUUGAUUGGGUAAAAUAUAUAAGAAUUUAAUUUUCAUUAUCAUUUAAUUUUUUAACUUGUUUAUUUAAUUAAAUUUAAUGAAUGAUUUAAGAAACUUAGCAAAAUAAAUAAACUUGUUUAUUUAUUUAUUUAAUAUGAAAAUAUAAAAAUAUAAAUUAACCAUUGUCGGAACUCUGACAGACCGUCGCCAUAUAGUCGCCCGAUAUCUGCGGGACCAUAGCCAAAACUCUAUUAGACCGUCGCUGGAACUCUGCCGGACCGACGUUUUAUAUAUAUAUAUAUAGUAAUUUUCCAAUCAGGGAUUCCUGACUUUAAUAAAGUAAGGGAUUAGUUAAAAGACGAAAUAAACACAGACUCCAAUGCACUGUAUUUUGUUAUAUAAUAUAUUAAAAUUUAAUUUUUUUGUCUUUUAGCUAAUCUUUGACUUUAAUCAAGUCAGGGAUUGAUAUUAUACAUACAUACAUACAUACAUACAUACAUACAUACAUACAUACAUAUAUAUAUAUAUAUAUAAGGACUUUUUAACAUUAAAAAAAUUUGGCAUUGAUAUUAAAUUGUAUUUCAUUAUUAAUAUAGAUAAUUUAGUAUUUAUAGAGAGUUUAGUAUUUAAGGUAAAGGAUAAAUUUGUCCAAAGAAAAAAAUUGUAAUUAUUUUUCCUAUUCAAUUUUAUGUCAAAUUAAAUAAUGAAAUUUAAUUUCAUUAUCCUCCUCUACUCCUUUAUUCCACUCUUUUCCUUCUCUUCCCCCCCUUUUUUUUAAUUAAUAACCACCAAAGAGGUGGGGGGUUAGGCAGGACUCCUACCUAUCAGAUAAAUCAAUAAAAAAGUAAUUACAUUAAGAGGGUAACAGAACCGAAAACCUCACAAAGAAGAUGUAAAUACAUAAAAAUAAAACAGAAAAUACACCAUCUAUUGAAACAAUAAAUCAACAAUCCUAUCGUCUGACAUGAGGGAAAGUUUGCGCAUCUAAAUGAAGAAUGCCAGAUAAGCCCGCAUGUAGAUCCUGAGCACACAAGAAAUGUCGGCUAACCCGGUGAGAGUAAGCCCAAUUGGCCAAAAAAUCAGCAGCAGAUGUAGCCUCCCGAAGCACAUGUCUAAUCACAAUGUGAAAGGAAGAUAUCAAAGGGCACACCCAACGUAAGAAGUAAAUAUAAUCCUAACGAACAAGGCCCUGGGAGUGAAUUCAAGAAACCACCGUGGUUGGGUUUGAUUCUACCUCAAGUGCAGAGUACCCACGUUGAGUAGCGAGCUCCAACCCCUCGCAAACAACCAUAAGCUCACCUUCUCCUCCCCUUUCUUUAAAUCAGACAUAGCCUUAGUACAAACCUUUUAUAAGGUAGUUCAUUUUUUACUUUCUUGGUGACAAAUACUUUGGACAAUGAAUUUUUAACUCAUUUGACAAUAUUAUAAAAAUUCACCCUGCCCCUGCCCCUCCCCCUCCCCCCGGUGUUGAUGUUUACUUGCGUAGUGACAGUAUGGGGACUGCGUUCCUUCGUAUUACUAAGCUUUAGCUUCUGCUAGGCUCGCUGUUGUGCAAAUUUUAAUGUACUCGCAAGCGCACGAAUCUAUUGUAGUAUAGAUCUAUGGUGACGAGUGUCGAUCCCACGAGGAGGUGGAUUUUAAUUGUGUAUAGAAUUAAUUUUGUAAAUGGGUUGUUGGAUUUAUGGUGGAAAUGAUUUGGUAUAUGCUAAAACUUAAAUUAAAAUGGCGAGAAUAAAUUCUAAAAUUGGAAUUGCAAUGGCGAGAAUAAAUUGAAGAUAAUUCUAUUGAAAUGACGUACUUGGGUAUCUGGAUCCGUAUCAACAUGCAUCAUGGGCUAAAUAAUCCGUAUUAAUGCCAAUUAAAUCAUGAGGGGGGAAUCCACACCUCAUGGACCACGCUCUAAUCAAUAUGGUGCUAAGGGCUUAUCGUGCCAAAUAAUAAUAACCUUAUACUAGAGAACCGGUGUAACCAAGGCGGUAUCUAGACAAGACUAUUAUUAUUUGUCGAUGAGAAGUCAAAACAUCCACAAAAUUUAGAGGGGAAGAGAAAAUAAAUUUACCAAAUUAAGCCCAUGACACAUGUUGAGACUUCACCUUCAACCCAAGCUUGAAAGAAAAUUAGCCACUCAUAGUUGAACUAGGGGUAAAAUGGGAAUUUAUUAAAAUACGAAGAAAAUACAAGAUGGAGAAGAAAUUACAUAAAAUGGAUCCCAAAAAUGGAUUCAGAGAUAUCAAAUUAGGGGGGGGAGACCCCCUUUUUAUAGAUACGUGGAGUAAAUCAUGGCCAUCGGAUUAAAAACAGUUUGGACGCUCAGGAUUGUGCCACGUCAUCAGUCAACAGUCCACGGUUUGACCACGCGGAUGAACAGUAACACGGUUUGACUCGGAUGAACAGUAACGCGGUUUGACUCGGAUGAACAGUAACGCGGUUUGACUCGGAUGAACAGUAACGCGGUUUGGUUGAAAAUAAUCCUGUGUGAUGCAUGUACCGUACGCGAGAUUUUUCAUCCACUGAUAUGCUGCCACGUCACCAUCAACAGUACAUAAGAAUUUUAGCCCAACAGGAUCGUGACACCUCAUCAGUCAAUGCCACAUCAUCGGUCAAUGCCACGUCAUCGAUCCGUCUAUGUGAACAGUGUUGUGAACAGUAACGUAGUUUGUACCGUACACGUGAAUAGUACCGUACAUAUGAAUAGUGCCAUUUUUCCUUUUAUGCUCCUCCUAAGGUUUUCGACUGUCCUGAGUUCAAAAGUGAUGUCCGUUUUGCCGUCUGAUCUCUCAUUUAUUGUGAAAUGACUAUAAUGCCCCUAAAAUACAUAAAAUACUUAAUUAAAAUAAAACACAUGUAAUUAAAUCACAAGAAGGUUAAAUACAUAAAAGUAAGGAUUGUUAGUAAGACUUGAAAUGUAAAAUGACGGUUUUCUCCUUUAUAAAUAUGCAUUUUUUAACACUCAACACACCCCCCAACCAGCUUAUUGCUAGUCCCUAGCAAAUAAAGCGAAAACAAAAUUCAAAUUCAAAAUAUUGUUUUUUUUUUUUUAAUAGAAACACCCGUAUUUAUUCCGUCAGAUUAAUGAUAGCAAUCAAAUAAAAGUAUAAGCAUUAUCUCCAGUCUAAAGCAACAUCACACCCACAUCAACCAUCCACAUGAAUCAGCCCAGUAGACUUUGUCAUAGCUACUUUCAAGAAUGACAUGUCAAACCCCAAAAUCUCACUGGAAGUAGUGACACUCUCACAAAGAAAUUAAAACCAAUAAAAAUAGUCACUCCAAUGAAUGGUAAUUGAGAGAGAAAAUAAUAAAGAAGUGAUAUCACAUGCUCUCACCAAGAUGAAAUAAAUAUGCCCUCAGCUUAGAAAUAAUACGAUCUCAAGUCAAACAAAAUUGCUAGUCAACCCAAUUUAUUUAUCUUUUUUUUUUAUUAUGCAUCACUACAUUUUUUUAGCCCAUAUAACUAGCUUCUACUUCAAACUAUAGUUCCCUAAAAUCAAGAAGGACUUUUAUUUGGACGUAACGUAGGCUAGGGAUAUGGUUAACAAAGAAAGGAAAUAAGGAAAACAAAGUGUAUGUUUGAGAAAAAUGCAGAGAAUUUUUUUUUUUUUUGGAAGUUGCAAGGUGGAUUUCACCUAUUAUUGUUAUUUUUAUUCUUUUGAAACAACAACUUUUGUUUUGUUGUUUUUUUUUUUUUUGCUAUAACUUCACUGAACAACAUAAUUAUUUACAUUUUCUCAAACAUAAAUAGGUGAUGUAACUUAUAAGAUAUUGGGUAAUACUCCAAAUCGGAGUGGGUCAAGAUGAUAAGUUGACAAAGAAAAUAUAUAUUUUUUUUAAAGGCUCAAAAGGGUUAACUAUGGAUAUUUAAUAAAAGGGGUGGCUAGAAAGGCUCAAACGGAUCAAAGAUGGCCUUUCCAUCGUCUUUUAGAGCUCUAAAUAACCUUCCAUAUCUACUAGUUAGAUGGGCCUCCAAAUGUAGCAACACACUUUUUUUUCUUUUUUUUUAUUUUUAUUUUUAUUAAGGGUUAACUCAAAAGAAAUCUAGAGAUCGUGUAUACAAUAAUAAACUGUUAAGCUGUAUAAAGAAUGAGCAAAAGGGUUACUCUCCAAGAAAAAUGAUAAGCUCAAAAACUCACUUGGUACUUAUUAUGACAUGUUCAUUCCUUCAAGCAACUCACAUUUGUCUCCGACAUCAACAUGUAAAGUAGCAAACAUAGCGUAACAUCACUUAAGACCAAAGAUAAUACAAAUACUAAAAUUUGAAAUUAUCAUGUCAUCCAAAACAAAUCAAAUUUUUUAAUUUUGUUUUUUUUGUAAACAACAUUCUACCCCCCAACCUAUUCUAAACAUGAAAGGGAAAAUAUGCAUGCAGAAAUGGGGAAAAUGAUGCAUAAAAACUAAUUAGGAAAAGUUACACGUAAAAUGAUAGAAAACGAAAANNNNNNNNNNNNNNNNNNNNNNNNNNNNNNNNNNNNNNNNNNNNNNNNNNNNNNNNNNNNNNNNNNNNNNNNNNNNNNNNNNNNNNNNNNNNNNNNNNNNAAACGAAAAUGAUUUUUUUUUUUUAAAGAAGAUGCGUUUCUAGAGGAACUACACUCCAUAUUCAGCCAUCUUCGACUCAAAAGUUGGAAAAUGUAUAUUUAUAGAGGAGAAAUUAAAAAGAAGAAAAAUAAACAUAAACACAUAAUAAAGAAAAAGAAAAUGUCUACAUCUUUUUUUUAAGUUUUUUUUUAAAUUUUUUUUAAACGAUGAAGAUGCGUUUCUAGAGUCACUACACUCCAUAUUCAGCCAUCUUCAACACAAAAAGUUAGCAACAGUUAGUUUCUACAACAAAAAAUUAGUAAAAACUUAACCAAAAUUCCACAAUUGUCGACUAUUCCCUCCCCCUAACCAGAACGAAACAUUGUCCUCAAUGUUUGAAAUGAAAGAAGUAGAGUUUAGAAGACAUCACCUGGGUGGUGCAACACAGAAAAUAAUAUUUACAAGCGGAGAGUUAAAUCUAAUUUGUACUUCUUACUGCGGCUACUGUUACCAUCAUUAUGUGGAUACUCCAACACAAAGGUCCAGAGGUCUGGCUCCGGUUUAUAAGCUUGUAACAGAUCAAGUAGCUCAUUAGCAGUGUGAGCACAAAUAAAGAGUUUUUUCACAUUAGCGGGAAUGAAAUAGUUUUUUAUUGCAUGGUUAAGAAAUGCGAUAAAGCCAUCAUAAAAGUUAUUGACAUUUAACAAACCGAUGAGUUUUUGGUGGAUGUGCAGAUGGGCCCAAGAUGCUAGCGUGAUAAGUGCCUCUAGUGUUGCAAGAUCUCCUGGAAGGAAAAUAAAAGCAUCAGCAUGAUUAAGCAUUUCAGUUAUUCUUUCUUGCAUACCUGAGACGACUAACUCUUCUCCAGUUGAUGAGUCAGACGAACUGCCCAAUGGUUUUAAGACUCUUGGGAUGAUGCCUAACACUUGACUUCCUCUGAUAAAAGCUGCUUCUGAGACCAUUUUUGAUAACCCUCGAUUACCUCCUCCAUACACCAAGUGUAAUUUUCUCGCUGCUAUGCUUCGACCAAGAUCUAUGGCUGCCUCAACGAACUCUUUAUGUUUGCCAUAUGUAAAUCCAGAAAGCACACAAAUGUUCUUGAAUUGUCUAUUGGGAGUAGCUGCCAUUGUGAUACUUCGCAAAAAUAAUUUGUGAGUGAUUGACAAAGAAAAUCACAUUUAAGAGUCUUGGUGAUAGUGGGUCAUAGUUGUGUAUGAGGUCACAUGUCCAUGUCAAAUAACGCGUAAAGCACGUGGCUCGCGAGUCAAAAAGAAAACAGGAAAAAGGGAAAAGCAAACAGUAAUAAGGAAAAAGCAAACAGUAAUAAAAUUAUUCAAGACAAUAAUGCAAACAAUAAGACAAUAGUGAAAUAAAAUAACAAUAAAGUAAAAGGAUAUUUACAGGUAGUUGCGACUGUGGCUCACAUCUUCCUCUGGUUUUACGUCCAGAAACGGCUUGAACGUCCUCUAUGGGUCGAGGAUAGGCUUCCUAUCCAGUUUUCUUAUAAACUGGCAAACAGGGUCGUUUAUAGUCAGAUUCCCGAGACUAUAUCGCGCAUGCUCUUUCUGAAAUAAUGACCAUAACUGGAGAAUCGCUCCUUGCACAUAUCCACUGGGAUGCGUUUCAAGAGACAAAAGGAUAUCAUCCAAUGACUCCUUAUUCAAGCCAUCCCUAAUGAAUUGAAUCUUAUCUUCCCUGUUAUCAGACAUCAUUCCUAAAGAACAUGGGUUUUUAUUGCAACUCAUUCUGGCACACUUAUGACAAGCAACAGAAAUUCUUCGAGCUCGUCGUUUUCUUGCAUAAUUUCCUUUACCACAACCAGGCAUGUAUGCAAUAAAUUUUGGAGGUAACUCACCUGCCGAUCGUACUUUAGCCUCGAUUAACCAACGGAUAUCAGCAGGUAUGUUAUUCCUCAUGAGUAAUCGCAUGCGUUCGGACCGAGCUUUAUAGAUCGUAAGGAGUGCAUUCUGAGGAAGUGAAGGGAAUCGCUUGUGAAGCUUCGCUAGAAUCUCGUUUCUGUCCAUACAUUCGCCUCAGAAUAUCAGUUAUUAUGGGAAACUGAAGUAACCGACUUGAUUAUCACGGAGUACCGUUAUCCGCCACUUCACCGGGGUAACAAACUAAAGCACACAAAUAGAAAAACAAAUUAAAACACACAAAGAAAAUUAAAAUCGUCCUCUUAUUGAAUUUACCUCAAGCUCCAACUGGAUGUCGUAAACACUUCUCUCAAUGUCUCUGAGUUGGCGUUCUAAACCCUCAACAUAGGUUACUAACUCUGGUGGUUGUAGAGCCCAAAUGCGUUGUGUUUUACAAAAUUGAAUCUGCCUUUUGAGAUGAGUUUUGACACGUUGAAGUGGUUUAAGAAUGUUCAGGAGGAACGGUCUAAGUAUGAGACUCAUGAUUAAAAAUGAUAAGAGAAAACUUAAUGGUAAAAUAAACACACUUAUGCAAAAACAAUUUCAAUUAGCAAAAGAAUAAUAAUAAAAAGAAAGAAAGAAAAAUCAAAUCAACGAAAAGAAAAAAAAUCAAUUCAAAUUUGGUGGGUCACUCAAAUUUAUUUCGGUGUCUUUUUCAUGUGGUUGGUACUCUAGAUAUGACUUUAAUUUUUGACCAUUAACUUUAAACGUGACACCGUUCUUUGGGUCUUUAAUUUCAAUUGCCUCAUGUGGAAAAACAGUAUGAACAAUAAAUGGGCCAGACCAACGAGAGCGUAACUUACCUGAGAAUAGGUGCAGGCGAGAAUUGAAUAAAAGCACUUUCUGACCUGGAGUGAACGAUUUUCUCAUAAUUUGCUUAUCAUGGAAGACUUUCAUUCGUUGCUUGUAAAUCUUGGCAUUUUCGUACGCGUCAUUGCGAAUUUCUUCAAGUUCUGCCAGCUGUAAUCUUCUUUCUGAGCUGGCUUGCUGCAUGUCAAAGUUGAAUUUCUUGAUGGCCCAAUAUGCACGAUGCUCAAGUUCCACAGGUAGGUGGCAAGCUUUUCCAUACACUAGCCUGUAGGGUGACAUCCCAAUCGGGGUCUUGAAAGCCGUUCUAUAUGCCCAUAAUGCAUCAUCAAGUCUUAAUGACCAAUCUUUCCUGUAUGGCCUCACCGUUUUUUCUAAUAUGUGCUUUAUUUCUCGAUUGGAUAUCUCAACUUGGCCACUGGUUUGCAGAUGAUACGGAGUUGCCACUUUGUGUGUGAUUGAAUACUUUGUCAAAAGAGCUUUGAAUGCUUUGUUACAAAAGUGGGCACCACCAUCACUGAUUAUCGCUCGAGGGAAUCCAAAGCGUGAAACAAUGUUGCUUUUCAAAAAUGCUAUCACCACCUUGUGAUCAUUGGUUCUACAUGGAAUUGCUUCUACCCAUUUCGAUACGUAGUCAACACUAACCAAUAUGUAUUGAUGGCCAAAAGAAAGGGGAAAGGGUCCCAUGAAGUCGAUACCCCAUACGUCAAAAAUUUCUACCACUAAAAUUGGAUUUAAUGGCAUCAUGUUCCUUCGUGUAAUGCUCUCCAUUCGUUGACACCUAUCACAUGAAGAACAGAACGUGUAAGCGUCUCGAAAUAUAGUUGGCCAAUAGAAACCACAUUGUAAAACUUUAGUCGCUGUUUUCUUAGCACUGAAAUGGCCUCCACAAGCUUGUUCAUGGCAGAAUGAAAGAAUAUUCUGAAUUUCAUUUUCUGGGACACAUCGUCUAACAAUUUGGUCUGCACAAUACUUGAACAAAUACGGGUCAUCCCAAAAGAAAUUCUUUAUCUCUGCAAAGAAUUUAGCCUUGUCUUGCUUGGUCCAAUGCUCUGGAAGUUUACCUGUAACAAGAUAAUUAACUAUAUCAGCAUACCAAGGUAAUACUUCCACAUUCAUUAAUUGUUCAUCUGGAAAUGACUCAUUCAAUGGUAAUGAUUCUGUAAUUGUGUCAAAAUGGAGUCGAGAGAGGUGGUCUGCCACAACAUUUUCUGUCCCUUUCUUAUCUUUGAACGAAUUAGUCUAGCUUUUGCAUCUUUCUUUGUGAUAAGAUAUUUAAGAGCAGCAUGAUCUGUGAACACGAUUAUUUUACAACCAAUGAGAUAAGAUCGAAAUUUCUCCAAUGCAAACACUACUGCUAGCAUUUCUUUUUCAGUAGUUGAAUAGUUCAACUGUGCAUCAUUCAAUGUCAUACUAGCAUAGUAAAUAACGUGGGGAAUUCGAUCAACUCUUUGUCCUAAUACUGCUCCUACUGCAUAAUCAGAUGCAUCACAUAUGAGCUCAAAUGGUAAGCUCCAGUUAGGGGCCUGAAUGAUAGGUGAUGAUGUCAACAAAUGCUUUAAUUUUUCAAAUGCCACAAGACAUGAAUCAUUAAAGACAAAAGGUGCAUCCUUAGCAAGUAAAUUGCAUAAGGGUCUAGAAACUUUGCUAAAAUCUUUAAUGAAACGUCUAUAGAAACCAGCAUGCCCAAGGAAAGAUCUUACUUCUCUGACUGUUUUGGGUGGAGGAAGAUUAGAAAUGAGAUCCACCUUGGCUUUGUCAACCUCAAUACCUUUGCUCGAAAUGAUGUGACCGAGAACAAUACCUUGUUUUACCAUAAAAUGGCAUUUCUCUCAAUUUAAGAUCAAGUUCUUCUCGAUACAUCUCUGUAGAACUAGUGUUAGAUGAUGUAAACAUUGAUCAAAUGAGUCACCAAAGACAGAAAAAUCAUCCAUAAAGACUUCAAGGAAUCGUUCAACCAUAUCAGAAAAAAUGCUCAACAUGCAUCGUUGAAAUGUAGCAGGUGCAUUACAUAAUCCAAAUGGCAUUCUCCUAUAUGCAAAUGUGCCAAAAGGGCAAGUGAAAGUAGUUUUCUCUUGAUCUUUUGGUGCUAUGGGAAUCUGAUUAUAUCCUGAGUAGCCAUCUAGAAAGCAAUAAAAUUCAUGGCCUGCUAAUCUAUCAAGCAUUUGAUCAAUAAAUGGUAAAGGAAAAUGGUCUUUAUGUGUGACAGAAUUCAAUUUUCUAUAAUCAAUGCAUACACGCCAUCCUGUAGUUACUCUAGUGGGUAUCAAUUCAUUAUCAGCAUUGGUAACUACUGUGACUCCUGACUUUUUGGGGACGACUUGUACAGGACUGACCCAUGAACUAUCAGAAAUUGGGUAAAUGAUACUUGCAUCUAAUAACUUAAGGACUUCAAUUCUAACAACUUCUUUCAUAUUAGGAUUUAACCGACGUUGCAUUUCCCUAGUAGAUUUAGCAUUUUCAUCGAGGUGAAUGUAAUGCAUGCAGUCUACUGGAUUUAUACCUUUUAUAUCUGCUAUGGUCCAUCCUAAUGCUCCUUUGUGCUCUUUUAAAACAUCCAACAACUUACCUUUUUGUUCGUCAUUGAGGUAUGAUGAGAUGAUUACCGGUAGAGUACUUUCUUCCCCCAAAAAUGCAUAUUCCAAAGUGUUGGGUAAUGGUUUGAGCUCGAGUUUCGGUGGUGAUUCUGAUGAUGGGAUGAGUUUCUUCUCUGAUGGUGCUAGUUGUUCAACUCUUGACUUCCAUUUAUUAGUGUCCAUAGAUGGUGCUGAGUCAAGCAGGGCAUUGACCUCAUCGAGCGAUCUGUCAAUAUCAAAAUCAAAACCAAAGUGAGUUAAACAUGUUUGUAAAGGAUCAUCACUAAGGUUUGAAAGAAAAGUGUUAUCAACUAUUGUUUCAAUUAAAUCCACAUCAACAAUUCCAUCAUCUGCAUUGUAAGGUUGUUUGGCAAUGUUGAAGAUGUUCAGCUCCAUAGUCAUGUUGCCGAAGGACAACUGCAUAUUUCCAGUCCUACAUUGAAUGUGAGCAUCCGCAGUUGCCAAGAAAGUUCGGCCUAGAAUAAUGGGGAUGUGCUUCCUUGAAUCCUAUAUUGGUUGAGUGUCAAUUACAAUGAAAUCAACAGGAAAAUAAAACUUGUCUACCUGGAUAAGCACGUCCUCCACAAUACCACGAGGUAUUUUCGUGGACCGAUCUGCAAGCUGUAAUACCACUGGAGUUGGGUGUAAUUCUCCAAGUCCAAGUUUCACAAAUACAGAAUAAGGCAACAAAUUUACACUAGCUCCUAAAUCCAACAAAGCAUUCUCAAUUGUGUGGUUCCCUAUACUACAUGAGAUAGUGGGGGAGCCUGGGUCUUUGCAUUUUAAAGGAAUUUUAUGUUGGAGUAUAGAACUAAUGUUUUCUGUUAAAAAUGCCUUCUUUUGAACAUGCAUAUUUCUCUUUUUAGUACAAAGGUCUUUAAGAAACUUGGCAUAAGAUGGAACUUGUUUAAUAGCAUCUAGCAAAGGGAUGUUAACACUUACCUGUUUGAAUAAUGGGGAAUCUCACCUGUGGAUUUUCCCUUCUUUCCUUUCACUAACCUCUGAGGAAAUGGAGCUUUAGGAACAUAUUCUCGUGGGUUGGUUUCUUCUUUUUCCUCCGGUGGUGAGUCCUCAACAUUCACAGGUACGAUUUGAUUUUCUUUUGUCACCGGCAUCUCCACUUUGUUGUCGACUUCUUUUCCUUUUCGCAAGGUCAUGACUGCUUUGACUUCUCCAUGCUGCUGUGGUGAACUGGUACUUGCUUCAUGCACUCCUUUAGGGUUAGGCACUGGUUGACUUGAAAACUUACCUUUCUCAACGGUCAUUGCCAAGGUCUGAACUGAAGAAGCAAGUUGUCCCACCAUCUUCUCGAGGCUUGAAACUGAUUGGGCUUGUGAGUUGAAGCCCGCUCUCAACUCAUUUCGUAGUCCAUCAAUGGUGCGGUUCUGUUGCUCAAUCGUGGAGUGAGUAACAUUCCUGAAAUUCUGGAAUGCAUCCUCCCAUGGUCUAGGUUGAGAGUGGUUCUGGUUUUGAUUGUAUGGUCUAAAUAGGGGCUGAGAGGCUUGAGGAUUUUGAGGAAUUGGUGGAGCUGGAGCUGCUGGUCCAUUCUGUUGGAAUCCUUGAGACCAUGAAAAAUUGGGGUGGUCUCUCCAUCCAGGGUUAUAUGUGUUGGAGUAUGGGUUGUAAUUUGAUGGCUUUCUCAUUACACCUAUGGCAUUGGCUUGAUCUGAGUAUGAGUCAUGGUCAUGUGGUUCUGUUGAUUUAGCAGUCGAUAACGAUGCUAUUUGUCGAGCAAGACCUUCAACCAUCUCCUUGACUUCUUUGAUUCCCGAAGUUGACUCGCCAAUUUGAACCUCAUUUACUCCCUUAAUUCGUCUAGUAUUCCUGAGUGAUCGACUCCGUUGUUGGGAAUUAUCCGCUUGUCGCUGGAAGAAUUCCCAAAUCUCUGAUGCACUUUUUGACAUUAGCUCUCCUCCACUUGUUGCCAUUAGCCAUUCUUGCACAUUCGGCAAUAAUCCCUCCAAAAAGUAUUGGCAUUGGUGCCAUUUCUCAUACCCAUGAUGUGGACACUUCAAGAGUAGCCCAUUGAAUCGCUCCCAUGUCUCGAAAAACUGCUCGUCCUCUCUCUGAGUAAACUCUGAGAUUUCCCUGCGAAUAGCAUUGAUUUUAUGCACUGGGAAAUAUUUAUUUAAAAAUUUAGUUACCAUUUGUUCCCAUGAUGCAAUGCUAUUAGCAGGUAAUGUAUUAAGCCAUGAACGAGCUCUAUCUUUUAAAGAAAAUGGGAAUAAUCUGAGUUUAACAUCAUCAUCUGAAAAAUUCUCAUAUUUAAAUGUUUGACAAAUUGCAUGAAAAUCAUUCAAAUGAUUAUAUGGGUCCUCAUUUUCUAGGCCAUAGAAUGUGGGGAGACAAUUUAGCACACUAGGUUUUAGUUCAAAACUCCUAGCAGCUACAUUUGGGUAUCUUAUGCAUGAUGUGCUCAAAUUAGCUAAGGGACUAAAAUAGUCCUUAAAUGGCCUCUCCUGUGGUGCUUGUAAAUUUUAUUUUUUACUUGUUUGUGUGUGCGAAGUGUUUUCUCAAGUUCAAGGUCUAUAGGUUCAAGAUUGGGUAAUAAUGACCUACGACCAUGCAUGCAAAACAAAUAAAAUAAAAAUAGAGAUGGGAACAAAACAAAUAAAAAUAAAAAAGAGGGAGAAAUUACGAUACUAACCUUAUUGCGCUAUUACAACCUUUCUAUAAAAAUACACAAAAACAAAUACGUGAAAUAAAUUAAAUAAAAAUAAAUUAAUAAGAUAAAAAAAAUUAAAAAGAAAAAUAAAUUAAAAAAUAAAUUACAGAAUUUUAAAGAAGAGAAAAAAUAAAAGAAAUACUAACCUUUAAAUGUAGAUUCACUUUUUUUUCUUUUUUUUUAAUUAAAAAAAAAUACAAGAAAACAAAUAAAAGAAAUUAUUCACAAAAAUUAAUUAUGAAUUAAAAUUACUUACCUCCCCGGCAACGGCGCCAAAAACUUGUUGUGCAAAUUUUAAUGUACUCGCAAGCGCACGAAUAUAUUGUAGUAUAGAUCUAUGGUGACGAGUGUCGAUCCCACGAGGAGGUGGAUUUUAAUUGUGUAUAGAAUUAAUUUUGUAAAUGGGUUGUUGGAUUUAUGGUGGAAAUGAUUUGGUAUAUGCUAAAACUUAAAUUAAAAUGGCGAGAAUAAAUUCUAAAAUUGGAAUUGCAAUGACGAGAAUAAAUUGAAGAUAAUUCUAUUGAAAUGACGUACUUGGGUAUCUGGAUCCGUAUCAACAUGCAUCAUGGGCUAAAUAAUCUGUAUUAAUGCCAAUUAAAUCAUGAGGGGGGAAUCCACACCUCAUGGACCACGCUCUAAUCAAUAUGGUGCUAAGGGCUUAUCGUGCCAAAUAAUAAUAACCUUAUACUAGAGAGCCGGUGUAACCAAGGCGGUAUCUAGACAAGACUAUUAUUAUUUGUCGACGAGAAGUCAAAACAUCCACAAAAAUUAGAGGGGAAGAGAAAAUAAAUUUACCAAAUUAAGCCCAUGACACAUGUUGAGACUUCACCUUCAACCCAAGCUUGAAAGAAAAUUAGCCACUCAUAGUUGAACUAGGGGCAAAAUGGGAAUUUAUUAAAAUACGAAGAAAAUACAAGAUGGAGAAGGAAUUACAUAAAAUGGAUCCCAAAAAUGGAUUCAGAGAUAUCAAAUUAGGGGGGGAGACCCCCUUUUUAUAGAUACAUGGAGUAAAUCAUGGCCAUCGGAUUAAAAACAGUUUGGACGCUCAGGAUUGCGCCACGUCAUUAGUCAACAGUCCACGGUUUGACCACGCGGAUGAACAGUAACGCGGUUUGACUCGGAUGAACAGUAACGCGGUUUGGUUGAAAAUAAUCCUGUGUGAUGCAUGUACCGUACGCGAGAUUUUUCAUCCACUGAUAUGCUGCCACGUCACCAUCAACAGUACAUAAGAAUUUUAGCCCAACAGGAUCGUGACACCUCAUCAGUCAAUGCCACAUCAUCGGUCAAUGCCACGUCAUCGAUCCGUCUAUGUGAACAGUGUUGUGAACAGUAACGUAGUUAGUACCGUACACGUGAAUAGUACCGUACAUAUGAAUAGUGCCAUUUUUCCUUUUAUGCUCCUCCUAAGGUUUUCGAAUGUCCUGAGUUCAAAAGUGAUGUCCGUUUUGCCGUCUGAUCUCUCAUUUAUUGUGAAAUGACUAUAAUGCCCCUAAAAUACAUAAAAUACUUAAUUAAAAUAAAACACAUGUAAUUAAAUCACAAGAAGGUUAAAUACAUAAAAGUAAGGGUUGUUAGUAAGACUUGAAAUGUAAAAUGACGGUUUUCUCCUUUAUAAAUAUGCAUUUUUUAACACUCAACACUCGCCUUCUUUAUAAAAAAAAUAUUAUAAAAAUUCAUUUCGCACUUUAACAAAAUGUAGGACCUCUUAUUAAAAAAUGCACUACAUAUAUAGCGUACUUGUAUGGUUUAGAAUCUUAAAUUUUAUGAAAAUCUAAAAAAACUAUUAUGACAGUCUUGAUGGAACGACGGUUUCCCUUUAAGGCCAUUCCAUAAGGAUUGCCGCCCUUCGUUUUCCACGUGUUAUCCAUAUGAUCCGUCCCUAUAGUGUUAUCCUCAUCACAUCUGUACGAUCCAUUUCGCUAUCUCUCUCGUUCUCUCACUUGUAUAUAUAAUUGAUACAAAGAACAAGCUGUACGUAGAUGUCCUUCAAUAUCCUUGGUUUUAAUUGUCUUAGUAUUAUAAUGUCCGUUCCUUGCAUCCUUCUACGAGUUCUAAACGAAGUUGGCAUAAUUAUAAGAAUCUUAAUAAUGGUAACGUUAAUCGAUCGACGGGGUCAGGAAAAAGAAUAGAAUAGAUUAUUUAAUUUCCAACAGCUUAAUUUUGUCUCUCCGCGAAUAUAAUAAUCACAUUUAUUCUACUACUUUUGUGCCUAUUGCUUAUUUUAUCCGCGAAUAUAAUAAUCACACGUUUUUAAAGUAAAGGAGAUUUUGGAAGAAGGCUGUACGGUUUGGAAAGAGGUUUUGAUUGAUAUAUAAAAAAAAAAAAAAAAGAGUGAAUUUACUCCAAGGCCUUUGGCGCAACUAUACAUAACAUAGAAAUUACACUUGAAAAGGGUGAAUAAUCAAUUAAAGCAGCGGGUGCUACAACCGACCGUAAAAGAGAGGAAAUCCGCCACAUUUCCUUCUGAAAAGGUCCUUGAUUUUAUCCAAAAGCGUGCAGUGCCUAAGCCCAAAGCCUUUUGCUAUUUUGUUGAUUACUACUGCCCGUGACAGGCCAAUCCUUGGUCACUCUCAUGACUAAGGUUUUGUCUGGCCGCCACAAUCAUUAAAACAUGAGGGAAAAUAAAUGGGAAAUUAUCAAUUUUUCAUCUGAUUGGUAAAAAUGCAAAAAUAAUUGAAAAUUUUAGAACUUAUCAAUUUUUUUUUUCGCUAGAAAAAAUAUAUGAGAUUUGACAGAGAAUUAGGUCUUGAUUAUUACUGGUGUAUUGUUGGAAAAAAAGUUGUAAUUAUAAUAUAAAAUUAUGUGACAAAUAUAGUUUUUAAAUAAUAAUUUUAAUAAAAAUAGUAAAGAUUUAUAGGUUUUCAUCAUACAAAUGUAAAAUUAAAUCAAACUUAAUUUUCAAAUUACAACAAUAAGUGUUUACUAAAUACUUUUAAUUCUGUUGUUUAAAAAUUACCACUACCCAACCACAAUAACACAAGGCCUUCAUCUAAGUUAAUCCCGGCAAAUUUCUGAUUGUAACUCAAAAAAAUCAUAUUAGUAUUAAAAAAAUCAACACCUAUUUUUUAUUAAAAUUUUUUAAAUAUCCUAUUAUAUGAACAAAACACAUGCUCGAUUAUUUUUUUUCAAUUAAACCUUGACCAGUAAGGCAAUUUAUUAAAUUAAAAAGCAGGGAACACUUAUUUAGGGGACAUAAUAAACUAUAUCCCGCAAAAUAAUUUUAGAAGAACCAAUACAGAUGGGUGGCCUACAAAACAAGAUGGUUUAGCCGAAAACGAAAAAAUAAAAAAACCAUCACUCCAUAUUAGCAUUAUUAUGAGAGAGGAACUUAGGAGUUUCUGGAAGUUCAGAGUCCCAGCAAGUGAAAGGAGCAGCUCAGGCCCGAAUGAGCUAGGCAGCCGCCGCACAGCCCCUCGAAAGUGUGGGUAAUUGUCUACGAAAAUUCAUUUGACUCACUAGAUGACAACAAUUAAACACAUGCUCGAUCGAAAUGCCAGUGUGAAUGGAAUUUUUAAUCAUCAAAAUCUUUAACCAAUGAUUAACACACUUGUUGUUAUUCAAUGGAGUUGUGAUUUUUACACCCCUCCAAAGUCCUUAUAAUUAAUCCACCUUUUACAUACACGCGACUACUAGAAGUUUUGAAAAUUAUGAUACUUUAAUUUAAUUCCCAAUCAACCCUUCAUAAAUAUUUCUACAUCUCUAAAGUAAUUGUUUACUUUCUAAUGUCCCUUGUAAGUAAAUGAUGAAGGCUGAUUUUGCUUUAUUUCUAUUUUCAGUAUCGCUCAAAGAACAUCAACGGCCCCAUUUGAUUUUCGCCUUGGGUGUGAAGCUAAAAGAUCUAUGUUAUCUUCAAUUAAGUAUUCCUUUUACUUAAAUGUUCUUUUAUCUCUCUUUUUCUAAAACCUAAAUCAUUCAAAAAAAAAAAUUGUAAAAUUUCACCCAAUUUAGCCGAAAAAUUGCCAUUCCCACGGUAUUGAUAAUUGAGGAGUGAACAACUUGCAUCUAUCAGCGGGAUUGCGGGAAAAAGAAAACCUAGAAAGAGAGUUUGCUCUUGAAGGGUUGUAAGUUUGUUCAGGGGUUAUUCGUAGAAUAAAUAUUAGAUAAUUGUAAGCACCGAAAUUUAAAAACUCUUUUAAAUGGAUUUGUUUAGAAAAAAAAAAGGUUCAUAAGAGUUCCGGAAGGGGUGCUAAUAGCUCAACUCCAUUCAAUAUUCGACGUUAUGUCUUGGCUGGAUGUGAUGAUUCAUUGAUUCCAUUGCAUCAAUCAAUGGUACUGUGGAAUAUCAUCAUUAUUUUGCCUUAAAACAAUUUCUAAUUUGUUUCUUGAAUGUUCUACAACAUUCUGAAAUACAUCAAUUUAUGCUUAAUUUUUUAUUUCAUAAUCCAAAAUUCAAGGGUUCAUUUGAUUUACGAUUCAGAAAUAAUUUUCAAAAAUAAAAAAAAAAAUUUUAAAAUGUGAUGAAGGUUUUAAUGUCUUUAUUUUCUUUAUGAUUUAUAUUAAUGGCAACCUAAUCAUCUCCCCACCUAUGUGAAAGAGAUUUGAAUUCUAAACCUCUUUUUUCAAGAAAAGGGAUUUUCACCAACCUAACUAAAUGAUGCAAGUUUUAAUAUGUUUAUAUAAUAUCCAAAAACAAUAAUUUCAACAACUGAAACAUGUUUAAAAUAAUUUCUAAUUAAGUUAAAAAAAAAACAUGUUUACGAUAUCCCCUGUUCUUUGUGUCUACAUAGUGUUUGGUCCAUCAUGUGCAAAUUUUAUGAACUUGAAUCCAGUGGCUCCUGAUAAGAGACACAGCAUUCCAAUAAAAUAGGAUAUUCUUUAUUAGAAGCUCACUCCAUAUACAUGUGUGUGUGUGUGUUUGUGUCAAGAAUCAUUGCUAUUAUAACAUGUGCAUUAGAAGAAAUCAUGAUCAUUAUGGAUUACAUAAUUUGGUGGAAGAUGAAUUUGUGAUUUAUGAUAAUUUUCUUAUUAUCAUAAUUUUAAAGGUGAUGAAUCCGUUAUUUAUUAUUAUUUUUAAUAUAUUUAAUGAAUUUUCUUUUUAAGAUAGCGGGGUGUGUAAAGGCCAAAUCAAUUUGUAUGAGAUGUCUUAUAAAAAAUUAUUAAAUUAAUGAUAAUGGAGACUGAUUUAGAAUAGAAAUUGCCAAAACAACAGAAAUGAUGAUUGGUUUCUUACUUUUUGUCUUUUGUAUAAGUUAGACCUUGAAGCCAUUUAAUUGAAGCAAGAGGACAGUGAAUUCAAUUGUUUUUUAAAUUCGCCGGAUGCAGCUGAAUUUUAUUUUUCUUUCUUGAUGAAUAAUACUUUGGACAUUGACUUUUGUUUUGAUCUAAAUUUUUAUCAGCGCAUAUACACGUUCGCGUUGGUUGUCAAUAUAAUGCAAUUAACUUCACUGACGAUAAUGAGUAACAAUUACAUGUGUUAACACAUUCAAUAUUUAAUUCGAAAUACACCCAGUACAUUAAUAUUUUACAUGACAUGAUACAACACACCCAAAGGAAAAACCACUGUAAGAACCAAGUAAAAUAAUUAGAGGUGCAAUACAUAUAAAGAUUGCCAUCCUAUCAUGCAUACAACUUAGAAAUAACGCGUGUACUUCUUCUUCUUCUUCUUCUUCCAAGGAAAAUUAUUCAUAAAUUCCAAGUAAUAGACCUUCCCAUUAGCCAAAAAAUCAGCACAGUAAGGAAACUCCAUGAGUGCUAAAACAAUCACUGGAAAGAUAGCAGCGGCAUAGAGAGCAGCGGUCCAUUUCUUCUCCAUACGAAUGAUGAGUAGAAGUGAAGCCGAGAAAGUAAUCAUGCUUGUUAGUACAGAAAAGAAGAGCAAAGUGAAGCCAACCAUCAACUUGCGCGGAAGUUCUCUAAGGAAAUCAGAUGACUCACGUGGCGACGUGAGGAUGGAUAGGAACAUAACAACGGAUGACAAAGAUAAGGCCAAGGAGGCAACGUCCAUUACAGUAAAAACAUAGAAAAGUGGUGACUUAAGGAAAUGGGGAAACCCCUUAUCAUUGUUACCUCCAGGUAUGGUGAAGGCAGCUGUAAAGACGACGGUUGCGAUUAGGAUUGCCAGCACGGAGCAUGCCUGAGAGGUUUCUUUGAUCCAUUCUUGUGCUUUCCUAAGUUGAUCUUCAUGUGUUAGAUUAAAGAGGUCACUUGCAGUCAUCUUAUUUUUUUCGUCGCGGUGCAUAGCAUAAUGGCGAGGCAUUAUCUCUUUUACAUGCUGCAUACACACACACACACGUUAAAUAGGGAGGGAGGCCUAUACACAUAGCCACAUGUGUAGUCAUUAUCUCUGUAGCAUUUUAAAAUAUAGAUUCAAGGUUUUACUCAAUUGUAAAAAACUUCUAAGAGGGUUGUAAAAGGUUUUACACAAUUAAAGAAAAAAAAAAGUGUUUUAUAAAAUAAUGAAAUGGUGAAUCACCUGAGAAUGAAUAUACAUAUACAUACAUAUAUACGUAUAUAUAGAGAGAGAGAGAGUGAGUGAGAGAGAGGGGGAAGGGGAUAGAGAGAGGGAGAGAGUACUAAUUUAGUCCAAGAUUGUGUACUUUAUUAAAGUUUAAGAAAACUAUUAAACCACAUAGUAUAUAUAGGGGGAGAGAGCGAGCAACGAGCGAUUAUUUAAUAACAGAUCUCUUAAGUUAUUAAAGUAAAGAAUAAAUUAAAAGACAAGUAAAAGUGCAGUGUAUUUUAUCUAGUAAUAUAUAUUGAUGUAUGUGUUUUUCUUGUUUUUUAACUUGUCCCUUAUUUUGGUAAGUUAAGGAGAUCCUUCAAUGGAAAAAAAUUAUUUUACAUAUAUGAAGAUACUCAAAUAUGGUGUCUACACAAAUUUUUUGUGUGGAUUUUAGGUUUUAUAACCGUUUGAAAGCCUUUCACAUUAUUUCAAAAAUAUUUUACACUGUUCUAAAAUCCUAUAUCUGCAUGAAAAUUCAUGUGCACAUAAGUUAUAUGUAUAUAUAACUGAAUAAAUUACAUUUUGUGGGACAAAAUUAAAUAUUAUCGAAGGGCUUACCUCGAACAAUUGUAACUCCUCCUGAAAUUGGAGAACAGGGCCAGGGCGGGUUCCUUCUUUAUAAUGUUUCAUGUCUGCGACAUGGUGCAGUAAUGUGUAGCCUUUCUUGUCAAUUCUUGAAGCCCAUUUGGGCACAGACAGUUGCAUUUCCUUCGUGAUGAGUUCAAAGACCUUAUAUUGACGACGCUUUACGGCCACAUGUAAUAUAUUCUGCUCUUUCUCAUUCAAGUUAUCUAACAAUAUUGCUUGAGGAUGUUGAUGGAUUAUCUCCUUCAAAAUCUCUGUUAUUCCAUUGCUUGCUGCAAAGAGUAGCGUCAACCUGAUUGCCCAAUUCUUAUCCUUUUUAUGAUUAGGAACUCCUUUGAUAGUGCAAUCUUUCUUCACAAACAAUUCGACCAAUUCUGCAGCUGAAAAAUCAACAAAUUUUUUUGCCUUGAUCAUAUUUCCUUUGUUAGUGCAAUCUUUCUUCAGCAGCAAUUCGUCCAAUUCUCCAGCUGAAAAAUCAACAAGUUUUUUUGCCUUGAGCAUAUUUCCUUUGCCUAAUCCUAAGGAAAUUGUGGAAAUAUUAGCUGGCGAAGUUGUGGAACUUUCUGGGUCCGGCGAGAAAAUUUCUGGGUUCGGCAAGGAACUUGUGGAACUUUCGGGGUUCGACGAGGAAAUUUCUGGGUUCGGCAAGGAAGUUGAGGAACUUUCUGGGCUCGGCAAGGAAAUUUCUGGGUUCUGCUCUCCAUCCCCAAGACAAAGGGUUUCUUCUUUAACCAGCUUUUUGAGCAGUUUAUUCACAUUUUUAUGCAUUUGCUUUUUCAUCCAGAUUUUCUUUAUCGCCGGACGUCCUGGUCAUGCAUGCAUCAACACCUUGUUAAUUUAUAAACAAUUUCGCACGCAAGUGCGGCAAAUCCAUUCAUCAACUGAAUGAAUUGCUCAAGUUAUGUUACAUUUCCCCUGUUCUGCUGCGUAAUUCAUAAAUGUAGAAGUAAUUAAUGAAAUUAUUAUUGGUCGCACCUUCAAUCACUUGCCUCCAAAUGCCAAUGUACAUCUUCCAAAUUGGAAUUCCUGCAUUUUGAUUAACUGCUCAGGCGCAAUUUUAUAACUAUAUGUGUAUUUAUACGAUAUGAAAAAUUAAUGCCACCACAUCAAAAAGGAAACCGCUCCCUAUAAUAAAAUACUGUGUGUCUGGACAAAAAUGGCAUGCAGGCACCACCCUUCUAGAAGGUGGGCUUGCUCAUUUUGAAAAAGGAGGCGCUGAUUCCUUCUUUGACUCGAAUAAAUGAAAAAAAAGAAGGAAAAAAAAGAGUGAUGCGGCACCGCAUAGAUUAAAAGAAAAAAAUAAUAAAAUAAUAAAAUCAUCCAAUUCUUCUCUUCUUCUUUAGAUCCAUUUUGAGACGAGAAAAAGCCGGUGAGAGUUGAGUGAUUAGUGAGUGAGAGAUUGGGUAUAUUGAGAUUCUAGGUAGUGAGCCAAAAUAUUAUAAUAUUUGUAAUCUUAAUUUCACUAGUAAAAUAUUUUCUUUAUAUCUUCGCCCAUGGACGUAAGUUAAAAGCCAAAUCAUGUAAAUUUUGGUGUUCUUAUGUGAUUCUGUUGUCUUAUGAUUUCUCAAUUUUACUUUAGUUGCUUGUAUGCUUCACCAAUCAAUUUCCAAUAUGUCUUUGUAUGAAUUGGUAGUUAAUCUUUGUAUCAAUUGGUAGUUAAGGUCCUCAUCAUGAGAAUUUGUACAAGUCCAUAGAAAUUAAAGAAAAAAGGAACUUCAUCUUUUCCCCGUACUAUUUAAGGUAUUUCACACUUCCCGCCUUAGUAUUUUCAAAAUUGGCAUACUGUUAUUGCGUCUAGAGGAUUCCACUUCACUGUGAUGAUUCUUCAUCUAUAUCUAGUUUAUUUUUGAGUUACCAAAAAAAACAAAGGGAAAAAAUCGACGUCUAAAAGAAAACUAGCUUUUAUAUUAUAUUAUUUAUUGUUUAUUUAGGUCUCAAAACUAAUAUUCUGUUUGGCUUCUAAGAGACAAUUGCUCUAAAAUGAAAGUUUUAGUUAUUAAUGGAAAAUUCGUGGGUAUUUGGUAAAGCUAAACCACUAGAUGUCAUAAAAGUUCUUUUUUUAUUCUCAUUUUUGGAGUAAACUUAUCAAUAAAUAAUUGUGAAAAAUAAUCAAUUUAAAAGGCAAACUGAGAAAGUGUUUACAGCUGAGUCGUCAAAAAGAUAGCCAAAACAAAUAUUAUGACUUGUAACCGCAGCUAAAGCUGUUAGUUCGGAUUUUCAUUUUUUAAUUUAAAGAGUUAUAAUGAUUAAUGAAACCACUAUAUUAUGAUUAUGAACAAAUUAAAGCUGCCUCAACACUACCUCUCGUCCGCUUUCUGCAGGCGACGCAAUUGUCAAUUUUACCAGUUUCCAAAUCUUCUUUGUAAUUGUAGUCAACGCAAUCGUCAUCAUCAUACGUUGGAAGACCUGCAAUUAGAAAUUGCAAUUGUAACGGCAUGCACCGAAGUCAACUGGACUAUAUAUCCCCUUAGAGAUGGAACUAUAUAUAUGUGUAUAUAUAAUUACUAUAUAAAAAAUGCUAAAGAAAUUGAAGGCUGCUAGAAUGUUGACAGGGAUAACGGUAUAUCAAGUCGGGCUUACUACAUGGUAAUCUCGGCCAACACAGUAACCCCGAACGGAUGUAUUUACACUUCAUUAAUCAGCUUUAAUCUCUUUCAUAUGGUUUUUGUAUCCACGAAAGCAAGAAAUAAAUGCAUAUAUUCACGUACAAGAAGAGACAAGACUGGUCCAUAUCUCCGCGGUCUUCGAAUAACUCUUGAAAGCAGAUGGCAUUAGAGCUAGUAGUUGAAGACAUGUCAAGCCAUCAGGCCCCUCGGACGUUAGUUUGUUCACAAGGCUUGAGUGGUGUUUAAGUAACCAAAUAGCAGUGUCUGUACGUAUUCAUGCAAGCAGAUUCAUUAAUUAGUUAAUUAAGAAGACAACUAAUAAAUUUUUAAACUUUAAUUUAACUCUUUUUUUUUUUAACAUAACCCAAAACCACCUAAAAUAGAUGUAAAUAAAAUUUAAUUUAACUAUUGAUCUAUAUAUGAAUGAAUGAAAGAGAGAUUUAAUUACUAUAUUUUACCGAAGUGUUGGCCAAGGACAGCCAUAUGAAGAACGGUCUUGCCAUCAUUUCUACGGAAAUGAUGACGUAAGUCACCAACUUGCUCAGUCCAGAUUUGCAACAGUUUAGUUUUCCCAAGAGCAGCAGCCCUGUAAACUGGGGUUUCCCCCAAACCGUUUUUAGCCUCAAGCAGAUUUUUGUACGCAUCACCAGACUGUCUGGAAAAGUCAAUCAAAAUCCUGGCCACGUCAAAAUUUUCGACGACGGCCGCUUCGUGAAGACCAUUGUUUCCAAACGCAUCUGUUUGCUUCAAGACUUCAAGUCUGGUCUCCGAUGUUAGACUUUCGAGAAAUUCCUGGAUCAGCUGAGGGUCUUCCAUGGCCGCUGCAAUGUGAAUUGCUCUGUCCCCGUUGACUGUCCUGUAAUCCAACAAGUCUUUAGCAGUUCGUUGAGCAAAGUACUGCAAGAAGCCUCGACAGUCUCCCUUCAAGGCCAUUCCAUAAGGAUCCAUUUUUCUCUCUCUCUCUCUCUCUCUCUCUCACUCACUCACGCUAUUGUAUUGAAUAUAUAUAGGUUUAAUCAUUCUAGAAGUUCUAAACGAAGUUAUCAAAUUGGCACAAUCACUUUGCAUAUUAUAUUAGUAGGGCUCAAGCAUACUAAUUAUAAGAACAGAAUAAAGGUGAAGUUAAUCCAACAGCUUUGCUGGUCCCUAUUCCUUUUUCUGCGAAUAUAAUAAUCACAUUUAUUCUACAGCUUCUAUCUCCAUUGCUUUUUAAUUUCCGCGAAUAUAAUAAUCACAUUUAUUCUAAAGUAUUAAAAUACCUAAGAAUUUUGACACUUACAAUUUCUCCACCCGAGGUUUAAAAAAAAAAUCAUCUUUUUUCACCUUGGCGUUAAGAAAGUUGGAAUUUGUUAGGAAAUGUUUGCAAAAUGAUAAUUUUACUCUUGUAAUAUAAAUAAUGUCGGAUUUGAACGUUUAAUUUCAGAAUAUUUUGCCCUUAAACAAUUUCUAAUUUCCUUCUUGCAUAUUUUUCGACAUCGUGAAAUACAUUAAGCUUAUUCUUCAAUUUUUAUUUCAUAAUGACAUAAUCCAAAAGUUUGACGAUUCAUUUGAUUUAUGAUUAUUCAAAAAUAUUUUUCAAAACUCAAAACAGAAUCUAAAAAAUUGAGUUGAAGUUCUAAUAUUAUCUGUUUAUUUUUAACAUUUAUCCAAUUCUCUUCCCUAUUAGCGGGGUCGAAAAUUGACCAACUUAGAAAGCCAAACUGGCAAGAUGUUUACAGCUGAGCUUUCAAAAAGCUAGCCAAAACAAAUACAGCCCAAGUACAAUCGGGAGUCGUAUGUGUAAGUUGGUUAUGACUUGUAACCGUAGCUAAAGUUGUUUGUUCGGGUUUUGAUUUUCGAAUUUAGCGUUAUAAAGAAGCCACUAUUUCAUGAUUAUGAUGAACAAAUUAAAGCUGCUCUUUCGCCAUUACUCUUCUCUGCCUGGCUGAUGCGAUUCUGCAAUCCUAACUGUCUUCAAAUCUCUUUUAUAAUUGUGGUCAACGAUAUCCUCAUCCAGAUACGUUUGGAAGACCUGCGAGUAAAAAUGCGAUUGAAUUUAACUCUAUAUAUUUUAAGUUCUAAUGAUGUAGACCCGCAAGUAUUUUUUUUUUUUUGUAACUUCACUUCAUCGUAUAUAUGUAUAAAUGCAAAUUAAAUAAUUAUUUCUCCUAAUUAAUUUGCUUAUUGUUUCCAUUGCAAAGGCAUGCACCUAGGUCAACUGGACCAUAUAUCUCAUAGGAGAUGGAACUAUACGUACAUAAUUAAUGUAUAAAAAAUGCUAAAGAAAAUGAAGGUGAAUAGAGGUUUGACAGAAAUAAUAGUAUAGUAAAUUGGGGUUUAUUAUGUUAAUUAAUUGAUUUUUUAAUUAAGUCUAAGUCGAUGUUUCUGUCAAAAUUUUCAAUCUUACUCAUGAUAUAUAAAUAUCAUGCAUAUGUUUUUCAAAAGAGAACUGAUAUUCAGUCAAAAUACUAACAAAAAUAAAGUAAAUCCGGCCAGGUUUACAUAGUUAAAUGCCAACAUAGUAACCCUGGCUAGGUGUAUAUAUACUGUAUUUGUCAGCGUUUAAGUCUAUUUUAUCAUUUUUUUUCCUCCAUGAAAGGUAGUAAUUAGUUUAUAUAUCUACGUAUUAAGAAUGUAUGGACAAGACUCGUCCAUAUCUUCAUGCGCUUCGUAAUCUUGAAGAUAAUAAUAAAUUUUUAUACUCUUGAUUUAUAAAGAAAUAAAUUCAUUAAUUUAUGUAUAUAAAUUCACCAUUAAUUACUCAUGAUCACCAGCGCGUUUCUAAAAUGCAGAUUGAACGAGAGAUUUAACUAUUAUUACCGAAGUGCUUGGCAAGGACAGCAAUAUGAAGAAUGGAGAUACUAUCCCAAAAAAUCUUCAGCUGUUAGUUGAGCAAAGUAAUCCAAGCAGCCAUCAUUACAUUCUCUCAUUAAGGCUAUUCCAUAAGAAUCUCCCUUCGUUAUCCUCAUCUCAUCCAUAAACACAAGCGCCAUCUCGCUUCUCUCUCUCACUUGUAUAAUUGAUACACUGAACAAGCUGUGUUCUUCGAUUUCCUUAAGUUUAAUUGUCUCAAUAUAAGUUGGCAUAAUCACUUUGCUUAAUUUCUUAAUGAAGUUCAAGCAUGAUAAGAAUAAAAUAAAGAUAAAGUAUUUAACCUAUCGGGUUCAGAAAAGGAAUAGAACAAAUUAUUUCAACGACUUUUGUCUGCAUUGCUUUUUCAUCGAAUAUACAUAAUAACCACCAAUUCACCAUAUUCUCAUAACGCAAAGGCGAUUGUGCUUUGCCUAAGCCUUAAGCCUUAAGUUUUUCGCUAUUUUAUAAAGAAAUCAUGACCAUUAUGGAUUACAUUGAAACGAUCCGCCCCGAACCAUAGGGGUGAGUCUAUUUAGUCUCAUCAAACUGAAUAGAUAAUAAUCUAAUUAGUAGGGAUUCUGCUAAAAAUUUGACAAAGUUUUCUUUAUAAAUAUGACACUUCGAGCCUGUAAAUAUGUAAUACAAGUACUCCCAAAAUAAAUCAAUAUACAACCAACUCCAAGAAUCAACAUUCUCAGUCAAAAUGCUGAAUUAUUACCUAAGAUAUCUCCAAAGUAUUGAAAGAUUAUAUUAGAACUAAUAUUAAUAUACAUUAGUUUAUUCUUAAUCACAAAAGAAUAAUACAACAAAAUUUAUACAAUCCAAAAAAAUAAAAGAUGAUCUGGAUGUCCUAACAAAAAAAAUCAUCUAUAUUUUCUAACACCAUCACGUGACCCAAACUCAAAAUAUAUCUAUAGUCGUUGGGUCGAUUUGGUGUACUUACAACCUCUUAUUGGGAGGAGGGGGGGAGGGGGGAAUAUAAUAAAACGAAAUGAGUAUAAAACUCAUUGAGCUCAGUGAGUGAUUAUUAUUUUUUUUUUGGAAAAUAAAUUUACUAAAAAAGAUAAUUUAAUCUUUUUUUAAACGAUUCCAUCAUAAUAUCAUAAGAACUUAAAUAAAUUUAUUUAAUUUAAAUCAUGCACUGAUAAAACAAUAAUACAUAAUACUGUAUAAAAUCAAGGAAAUCAUAACACUUAUAAUAACAGAGAGUGAAUGCCAAAAUUAUUACUAAACAAGUAUCCAUGGGAAAUAAUAUUGUCAUAUCCGAACCUCAACGGACGGGUAAUGAUGUACUAUCUAGAUACUAAUACUAUCAUGCCCUCGGGCUACACGGAUAGACGGGGAGGUGUCAUCUCAUAUCUCAUCAUAUCUGUACAUGCAUAAUCUAAUCCCCAAAGGAUAAAAACACCCAAGCACACAUCUCAAAACCUUUAUGUGUAUUUAGACGGGUCCUAAAGGUCUAUAUCUCAUCUGUAUCAUCUCUAUCUGUAUUAUUGUUAUCAUCAUAUCACAUGCAUAUGCCCUCAAAAGGCAGAACGCCUUGAAAUAGAUUUUAAUCACACAUUGAUAUUUUAUUAAAAUAUUUGGUUAAUAGUUUUUCGUAUUGAUUUUGAAUAAAUUAUGAUAGUAUUUUAAAGGCGAGAAAGAUGGAUUUAGAUGUGAUAAUGAAAAGAAAAUAGAUUUUAAGUAUGUUAAAUAGAAAAGAAACAAGGUUUAUAUUAUGAUUAUAUGUUUAUGUAUAUGUGUAUAAAACAUUGUUUAUAAAAUCAUUUGACAAUACCCUUCCUCAGUUACAGUGAUACAUAUAUGAUGAGGCUUUUAGGGCCCGUCUGAUCACAUAUAGGGGAUUUGGGCCGUGUGUUCAGAACAUUUAAAAUAUUUAUUUCGCAAACAUGUUUUAGUAUCAUAAUUAACUAUGAAAGUAAGUUUUGUAUAUUUUACUCAUAGUGAUGAUUUUUAGAUUCGGUUAUCGCCCAUGUUCGAGGACUGGUUCUCGCUUGCAGAUCCUUUUAAAUUAAGGAAAUGACAUAAUUAUUUUCCGUAAAUUGAAAUUAGAACUAAAUUCAUACAAUAAACUCAAAACGAACAUCUAUCCAUAAUUUACAACUUUCAUGUCGAUAAAAUUACUAAAAUACCCUCGAAUCCGUAAAUCAUUAGAAUACUCUAAAAUUGUAAAUCACUACAAUACCCUUGAAAUCGUAAUUACAUCUGAUCCUCAAUUUCAGAAAUUAUUAAAAUCUAUAUUGGGUCAAAAAUUACAAAAUCACCCUCAAAAUGUGAAAUUAAUGAUUUGCCCUCGCCAACGGUAACCCGGAAGGUCAAGUGUGAAAUUUUCAGCCGCGAUGAGUCUAAUGGUGCCUGCAGUGACCUCCCACGUGUGGAGACGGUGGCAGAUCGAAGUCCCAAAGCCGUGAGCUUUCCGGCCGCCGAUCGACAGCAAUCCGGCCGUUUCGGGUGGCGGGAUUGGUCAGAAAAUGAUGAGGAUGAGCUAAGGAUCAAGAUCCAGGCAGUGGCGUUAUCCAAAAUGGCGGAAUCGACAACGAGAGGAGGUGGGUUUUGCCGCAGCUUUUCGAGCUUCAAAAGGCCGCAUUCCGGUCAGUUUUCGGCGGCGAGGAUGGUACAGAAAUGACGGCCGUCUUCCAAGCUUCAAAUCGGUACCUUGAUCGGCCGGAGGGGGUCGGAAUUGCGAGAUCUGGCCGGGUCGAUUUUGUGUCAAAGGGGUCAGGUUUUCUGGACAGCUUCCUCCCCUCCCUCUCUCACACGUGUGGUCUCUUCCUGUCCUUCAAGCCUUUUAUUUAUUUAUUUAUUAUUAGUAUUUUCUUAAUUUUUUUUUUUACGUACAUAAUUUGGAAGGUGAGGAGUUCGUGAUUUAUGAUGAUUUCUUCGGAAGAAGAUGGAUACGUAACUUAUGAUGAUUUUUUUACCAUAGUUCGGAAGAUGAUGAAUCCAUAAUUUAUGAUGAUUUUUUAAUAUAUAUAAUUUUUGUUUUAAGAUAGUGAGGUUGCAAAGCACAAAUCAAUUUUUAAUUAAAUCUUAUCAAAAACUAUUAAAUCAAUGGUAAUGGGACCGAUUUACCGUACAAAUUGCCAACAACAUAAAUGGUGAUUGAUUUGUUACUUUUAUGCAAUUUUGUAUAAACUGAGCCUUGGAGCCAUAUGAUACAAGAAGAGUCUGAAUUAUUAUUAUUAUUUUUUCAAUUGUUUCUUAAAUUCGUGGAUGAAGCUGAAUGUUUUUUUUUUUCCUUUCUUGAUGAAAAAUAUAUUUUUUGGAUAGUGACUUUCAUUCUGAUCUAAAUUUUCAUUUGAGCACAUACAUGUGGGUGUAAGUUGUCAAUAUAAUGCAAUGAUGAUUCUAUCAACUAAAAAAAAAAAAAUUCAUAUUGAUGAUAAUGAGUAAACAGAUAGAUCAUACAUUCAUUAUUUAAUUUGAAAUACACACAGUACAUUAUUAUUAUUUGCCACACCAAACCCAUCUUUUACAUGAAGUAAUACGACACACCCAAAGGAAAAUAUAUGUGAGAACAAUGAGAUAAAUAGCGUUAAUUAGAGCUGCAUUACAUAUAAGGAUUGUCAUCAUAUCAUGCGUAUGUAUUAAUUAUUAACGCCAAUGCGUCCUCUUCUUCUUCUUCGAAGGUCCCAAGUAAUCCUUAAAAUUAGCCGCAAAAUUAGUAUAGACAGGAAACUCCAUGAGUGCUAAAAUAACCACUGGAAAGAUAGCAGCAGCGUAGAGAGUGGCGGUCCAUUUCUUCCCCAAACGAAUGAUGAGCAGAAGUGAAGCCGAGAAAGUAAUCAUGCUUGUUAAUACAGAGAAGAAGAGUAAAAUGAAGCCAGUCGUCAGCUUGCUCGGAAGGUCGCUAAGGAAAUCAGAUGACUCACGUGGCGAGGUGAGGAUAGAUAGAAACAUCACAACGGAUGACAAAGAGAAGGACAGCGAGGCAACGUCCGUUACAGUAAAAACGUAGAAUAGUGGUGACCUAAGGAAAUGGGGAAACCCCUUUUCAUUGUUACCUCCAGGUAUCGUGAAGGCAGCCGUAAAGACGACGGUCGCGAUUAGGAUUGCCAGCACGGAGCAUGCCUGAGCGGUUUCUUUGAUCCAUUCUUGUGCUUUCCUAAGUUGAUCUUCAUGUGUUAGAUCGAAGAGGUCACUUGCAGUGAUUUUUUUUAUUUCGUCGCGGUGCAUGACAUAAUGGCGAGGCAUUAUCUUUUUUACACGCUGCAUACACACACACUGUAAAAUAAUAGCAAAUUAAGCUAAAUGCUUGUUUGGUUACUGAGAAAAUAGAUGAACUCUCUGGAAUAUUUUCUUUUUCAUCAUUUAAGCAAUCGUUACAGACUCUGUUUAUAUACUCUUUAUUUCCAAGCUACAAUUGAUCAAAUAAGCAUUGCACUAACUAACCAAUCAGAAUAUUGCAUCACUAACUAAAAGCUAAUCAACUAACUAAUAGACACGUGAGCUUUCAACAAUCUUUAACAAAAUUAGCUGACUCAGCACUGACGUGGCAUUGCUGAAGAAUCUUUGACUGCUGGCUUCCUUUCUUGUUUUAACUCAGCACAGUGAGCUCUCUUCACACACACACACACAUAUAUAAUGCAUGGAGUCCAUCCGAAAAUAUAAUAUUAGAGUAUGCUUUUAUUUAUAUAAACACAAUGAAUAAAUUAAAUGUACUUGGGGGACAAAAUUCAAUAUUAUCAAAGGGCUUACCUCGAACCACUGUAACUCCUCCUGAAAUUGGAGAACAGGACCAGGUGCGGAUUCCUUGCUUAUAAUGUUUCAUGUCUGCGACAUGGUGCAAUAAUGUAUAGCCUUUUUUGUCAAUUCUGGCAGCCCAUUUGGGCACGUACAGUUGCAUUUUAUUCAUGAUGAGUUCAAAGACCUUAUGUUGACGACGCUCUACGGCCACAUGUAAUAUAUUCUGCUCAUUCAGCUCAUUCGCCUUAGAUAAUAGUGCUUGAGGAUAUCGUUGGAGUAUCUCCUCCAAAAUUUCUGUUAUUCCGUUGCUAGCUGCAAAGUGUAAUGUCCUAUCCUGUGUUGUGGCGUUUUCACCAUCCUCAACUGGGUCCUUAGUGCCAUCUUUUUUCCUCAGCACCUCGAUCAAUUCUUCAGCUGAAAGAUCAACAAGUUUUUUUCCCAAGAUGUCCUUUCCUUUGCCCAAUCCCAAGGUAAUUGUUUUCGUUGUUCCGGAAGUUUCCGUUGUUCCGGAAAUUUCUAGUUCCGUUGUUUCGGAAAUUUAUAGUUUCGUUGUUUCAGCCUUUUGGGGAUUAGAGGGAGGGUUCGACCUUUUUAUUUUAACCAGCCUUUUGACAAGGGCAACCGCAUCUUCAUGCGUUUUCUUUUCCUUCCAGAUUUCCUCAAUCCAUGAACAUCCUGGUGAUGCAUGCAUCAACAUCUUAUUAAUUUAUGAACAAAAUUAUGCACGCAAACGGCAAAACCGUUCAUCAAAUGAAUUGAAGUUAUUAGACAUUUCCCCUGUACUUCUAAUGUGUAUCAUAUAUGUAGAAGUAAUUAAUGAAAUUAUUAUUUGUCGCACCUUCAAUCACCUGCCUCCAAAUACCAAUAUACAUCUUCCAAAUUGACGUUCCUGCAUUUUGAUUAACCUGGUCAGGCAAAAUUUUAUAUGCACAUAAUUAUGAUAUGAAAAAUUAAUGCUAACGCAUCGAAAAGGAAGCCGCUCGGACUCAAGUUAAAAGCGUGGGGGUUUAAAUAUAAGGAGACAUGUGGAUGCAAUUUAUUUGAGAUGGUAAAUAUUUUAAUCUGCAAUUUGUAGAUAAGCUCCUUACCAUAAGAUAUGCAUGAGUCCAUAGAAACUAAAGAAAAGGGAACAUAUUUCCCCCAACUAUUUGAGGUAUUAUUUACUUUUCCUCUCGAUAUUUUCAAAACGGUCAUGUACCUCGUUGUUAAAGAGAGAAUACAUUAAAACAAUCCUUUUUACUAUUUUGUCCUUGAAACAAUAUACUUUUAUCCUAAAAAUUAAUGAAUAAAAUAAAAUCUAAAUAAUUAUUUCAAUAUUAAAUUUGUUAAAAUAUAGAUUGCAACAAAUCUCCGAUCGGUCUCUUUUGUAAUUAUUUUUUCUGACGUGCCAAUGAAAAUAUGAAAAUCAGACUUUCUAUUUGAUACAGAGAUAUGUUUCAAAGAUAAAGGUUGACUGGAUAGUAGCUCAAAUGUUUAAGGGGAACAAAUAGGUUUCUAACAAAAAAUACAAAAAAAGAGCAUGCAAUGAUAAUACCAUUAGAUGUCAAAAUUAAGGCUUCGUUUGCCUUCUGGGCUAAUAUAGAAUGAAAAUUUUCCUUACUAAUAGAAAAUUUAUGGGUAUUUUAUAAAAUUAAACACUACUAGAUGUCAAGUAAAAAUUGGAGUAUAUUAUCAAUAAAUAAUUGUGAAAAAUAACCUACUUAAUUAAAAGCCAAACUGACAAAGUGUUUGCAGCUGAUUAGGUGUGCAAAAAGCUAGCCGAAACAAAUAUAGCCCAAUUACGAUCCAGAGUCGUAUGCGUAGGGGGGUUAUGACUUAUAACCGUAGCUAAAGCCCAAAGCUGUUAGUUCGGGUUUUGAUUUUUGAAUUUAUAGCAUUAUAAUGAUUAAUGAAACCGCUAUACUAUGAUUAACAAAUUAAAGCUGCUCUUUCAGCAUUACCUCGCCUCUUCUUUGUGUGGCCGCUGCGAUUGUCAAUCUUAUCAGUCUCUAUAUCUUCUUUAUAAUUGCAGUCGUCAUCCAGACACGUUGGAAGACCUGCAAUUAGAACUACAAUUGAAUUUAACUAUAUAUAUUCUAAGUUCUGAUAAUGCAACAAAACAUUUUUUUUUAAUUUAUGCUUAAAUACAAAUUAACUAAAAUGUUUCUCCUAAUCCAUUUUUUUAUGUUCCCAUCGUAGCCGCAUGCACCCAUGACAACGCGACUAUAUAGAUCCAUUUGGGGUAACUGCGCUGCCACAGUGUAGCUCCUCCACCCCCUUGAUUUUAAGAAGAUUCUCUUAAAGUAAAGGGUAGAGCAGCUACCCCAAACGGCCCCCACAUCCCUUUAGAGAUUAAAUUAUAUUUGCAUAUAAUUAAUAUAUUAAAAACAUUAAGAAAAAGUAAAGGCGGGUAGAGUGUUGGGCAGAAAUAACAGUAUCCCCGUUGGGGCAGGUGGACCAUUGUUUCCGUAUAUUUUCCAUGAGAACGCUGAUAUUAUGAAAAAAAAAAAUACUGAAAGAAACAAAAUUAAAUGCAAUCAAAUUUGCAUGGUUCAUUGCUAAUACUGUAACCCGGACCGAAUGUAUGUAUAAUAGACAAAGUCAAUAUUGAUGCUUAUUCAUUUUUAUAACUUUUCUCUGCUGUAAAUCUCUUUUAUGUAUAUUUUAGUUACGAUCGACCGUACAAUCAGUCGAACAAAUUGUUCUCUUGUAUUACAAAUAUUGAGUGAACUCAAUGAGAAAUAGUAGAGUCAUAUUUUCCAAACCUGACAUCAAACAAUGUAUCCACGCACGAUAAUGGAAAGGACUCUUGAUCAUUCCCCUCUUGUCAUCCGCACUCUUGAAAGCAUCUGGCAUUAGAGUUAGUAGUUCAAGACAUGUAAAGCCCUUAAGCUUGUCGGACGUGGACGAGAGCUCGUCGGACUUCGGCGUUCCUCGUUUUUCUGCAAGGCUUGAGUACUCGCUCUUAAGUAACCAAAUAGCCGUCUCUGUACGUAGUCGAGAAAAUUAAUUAAUCAGUUAAGAAAAUAAUAAUAAAUUUUUUAACCCUUGAUCUAUAAACGCAUGAAUUAAUUGGAGAUUUAAUUAUUAGAUAUUACCGAAGUGUUGGCCGAGGACAGCCAUAUGAAGAAUUGUCAUAUCAUCGUUUUCUCUAUUGAAAUGAUAACUUGAGUCACAAAAUUGCUCAGUCAAGAUUUGCAGCACUUUAGUUUUUCCAAGAGCGGCAGCCCUGUAAACUGGAGUUUCCCCCAAAAGGUUACGAACCCUGAGUAGAUUUUCGUGCGCAUCAACAGACAUUCUGGAAAAGUCAACCAAAACCCUGGCCACGGUGAAAUCUUCGACGACGGCCGCUUCGUGAAGACCAGUGUUUCCAAACGCAUCUCUUUGCUUCAAGGCUUCAAGUCUGGUAUCUGGUGUUAGCCUUUCGAGAAAUUUCUGGAUCAGCUGAGGGUCUUCCAUGGCCGCUGCAAUGUGAAUUGCGGAGUCUCCAUUGGCUGUCCUGUAAUCCAACAACUCUUUAUCAGGCCGAUCAGCAAAGCACUUCAAGAAGCCUUCACAGUCUCCCUUCAAGGCCAUUCCAACAGGAUCUCCCAUCGCCCUCUCUCUCUCUCUCUCUCUCUCUCUCUCUCUCUCUCUCUCUCUCUCUCUCUCUCUUUCUCACUUGUAUAAUUGAUGCACAGAACAAGCUAUACGUGUUCUUCGAUAUCCAUAUAAUUAAUUACUUCCAUCGCCGUCCCUUAUAUAGAAGUUCUAAACGAAGUUGGCAUAAUCACUUUGCCUAUUUUACUAAUAAAGCUCGAGCAUUAUAAGGAAAAAAAAAAGUUUUAAAGUGACAAAACGGAAAAGAUGAUAAAAGAACAAAGUUCUGAAAAGAGAAGUGAUUAUUGAUGAAAAUUUGUUUGCAUUGUACGGUAUUGUUCCCUUAAAUUCAUAGAAUGUGGAGUUACCAAAAGACCAAAGUUAAAAGUAAAAUAAAAUUAUUAUGUUUGAGAUCAAAGAGAAAAAGAAUAAGAAAAAGAAAACGCAUGCAAUUAAAAAUGAUAUUUUUUGUUGAUUCAAGAGGCCAAUCACCUCUGAAAUGAAAUUAGCUUUUGUCUUUCUGUGUGUUUGGGAACGAUAUAUUAUAUAUGCAAAAACGAACAGUUGUAUCUAAAAUUACAUUUGGGAAAGUAUAAAGAUCACGUUCCACGUCAUAACGUUUGUUAACAAAUGAUGUCAAUAAAAAGAAUAGAAUAUAUAAAUUAUUUCCAGGCUCAAGUUACAGCUCCGAGAAGGUGUAUGGUCCAUGUUGUACAUCAUAAGGUUUGUUAAUCAAUGGUGUCAGAAAAAUAGAGUAGAAUAUAUAUAAUUUAUUUCCACAACUUAAUUUUGUCUCCAUUGCUUUUUCCGCGAAUAUAUAUAAAAAGAGUGGGAGAGAUCCUAACCCUUACUUUAAUAACAUGGUGAUUAUUGUAAACGCUAUUGUGCUUUGACUAGACUAAAGCCUUUUGCUAUUCUACAUGUUAUCAUUAUUUCUCGUCAUGAAGUGGCAGCCAAUCAUUAAAAAAUAAAUAAAAAUGUAAAAAUAUUUGGAAAGUUUAAAACUUAUGAUAGAAUUUGGCCUUAUUUUGUAUAGAUGUGUUGUGAAAAUCAACUGUAUACUCUAUUGUAAAUAUAGCUUUGGAAAAAUAUCUUUACUGAAUUUUAUCGUACAACUAUAGAAUAAAAUCAACUUAGCUUCUAAACCAUAACAGUAACUAUUUAUUAAACACUUUAUUGAUCUAUUUUAAAAGCUUCCACUGCUUAAUUACAAUACCAAACAAGAUGUUGAUCUAAGUUGGUUCUAACCACAAUACCAAAUAGGGACUUACAUUCUAUCAGUUAAGUCUUUAAGUUUAUUUGUUUUUUUAACUUAUUAAAAAUUUUCAAUCAUUAAGCUAUUAAGCCAAUUUUCUUAGCUUCUUAUUUAAUCUAAAAAGUCUGAAUAAUGUUAUUAAAGAUAUUAUUUAAAAUAUUCCUAUCCAACUAAUUUAUUUUCAUCUUUACCUAAAUAAAACUUACUAAUUAGCAUACUAUUCAUCUUUAUAACUUGUGAGAAUAUAGUAUAUUUUUAUUUUAAUCUUUUUUAUUUUCUUCAAAUUAGCAUUAUCUAUUUUCAUAAUUUUUUAUGAGUAUUUUUUAUAUGAAACACCAUAAAGUGCAAUAGAAUUGAUUCACACGUUCUAAUUUAGAAUAUUAAAGGGUUGUAUUCACCUGAACAUGAUUCAUGUUAUGAUAGAAUAAUAUCAUAUUUUUGUUCAAUGAGAUUUUAUUAUUUAUUUGACAUUUGAAAUGUAUGAGCGUACAAAUGUAAAAGUAUUAGUUUUUAGAUUUUUAAGUUGAAAAAAAUAAUUAUUGUUCAAAAAUUUAUAUUAAAAAAAUAUGUUAUUUGGAUUUAAACGUUUAGCUCUAUUCAAAAUUCAGACUAACUUGGGUCUACUCAAAUUUUAGAUAAAAAAACAAAUGUCACCUAAGUAAAUCUAUGAUGAUACAAGCAUAUUAGUAUUUAAAAAAAAAUCAGCAUCUUCUUUUUUCAAAUAUUACACAAUAUAAAUUAAGCUUCAUAGAAUGCGAGUGUGAAUGGAAUUUAAAGCAUAUGGCCAUUCUUCCAUAGCUGUCCUUAUCUCAUCCAUAAGUGCCAUCUCUGUCUCUCACGUAGUCACUGUAUAAUUGAGACACAAAACAAGCUAUACGUGUUCUUCGAUAUCCUUAAUUUUACUUGUCUUAAUAUAUAUGAGUAGGUUUGAUGCAUCCUUCUACAAAUUCUCUAAACUAAGUUGGCAUAAUUAUAAGAAUAAAAUAAAGUUAAAGUCUGUCGGGUCAGGGAAAAGAAUAGAAUAAAUUAUUUAAUUUUCCAAAUAACUUCAGUCUUUCCGCGAACAUAAUAAUCACAUUUAAUCUACCGUGUUCUUCGAUAUCCUUAAUUUUACUUGUCUUAAUAGAUAUGAGGUAGGUUUGAUGCACGCUUCUACAAAUUCUCUAAACGCAGUUUGUUAUAAUUAUAAGAAUAAAAUAAAGUUAAGUCUGUUGGGUCAGGAAAAAGAACAGAAUAAAUUAUUUAAUUUCCAAACAACUUUUGUCUUUCCGCGAAUAUAAUAAUCAAAUUUAUUCUACCGCUUUUGUCUCCAUUGCUGAAUUUGUCCGCGAAUAUAAAAAUCUCCAUUUUAUUUAAGUAAAGGCGAUUGUACUGUGCCUAAGCGUAAAGCCAUUUGCUAUUUUGGCGGCUACAUGUGUUACAGGCCAAUCCACGUGCCAAGAAUAGACAGGACUUGUCCAUGCAUAUCUUCGUGCGCCUCGUACUCUUAAAAGCGGAUGCCAUUAGAGCCAGUGGUUGCAGGCAUGUCAAGCCAUCGUCCUUCUUGGACUUGGUUCUUUUCCACGACUGGACUCGCGAUUAAGUAACCAAAUAGCAGUGUCUCUGUGCGUGAUAAGUCCACGAAUCAUCAGUUUGAAGCAACUGUGGCAACAUGCGCUGCAUUAGCUAGCCAGGGGUCUACACUCUACACAAAGACCCCUUUAAGGCAAAUUCUGGAUGUUAGAGAUUAUACUAAUGAAGAAUUUGGUCACCUUGAACAUAACUCAAUAGCAACAGACCUGAUGCCUCCCAACGGCUCCUAGAAUAUCAUGCAUAAGAUUAAGUCAUGAGAUUGCAUCAACGAUGAAGCCUUUAGUUUAGGUAAAUAUCUUUGUAAUUAUGAGAUGUGUUUUAUUCCUUUUAAAGCAUGAUACAACUUGUAUAUAUGCUGUACGAUUUGUUUGAGUAGAAACAAUCUCAAUUACUUUCUCAUAUUUACAUUUUCCACAGCACGUAUUCAAGCAGGACAGAAAUGUAAUUAAUUAAUUAAUUAAAAAGAUAGCAAUAAAUGUUUAAACUCUUGAUAUAUAAAUAAAUAAAUAAAUUCAUUAAUAUAAAUAUAUUCACUACUAAUCAUAUAUAAAUAAAUAAAUUCAUUAAUAUACAUAUUUUAGUUUUCUAAAAUACAGAAUGAAUGGAAAGAUUUAAUCAUUAUUACCCAAGUGUUUGGCAAGGACAGCAAUAUGAAGAAUGGAAAUUUUGUCCCAACAAAUCUUCGGCAGUUAGUUGAGCAAAGUAAUCCGAGAAGGCCUCACAGUCUCUCUUUAAGGCCAUUUGUCAUCAUCUCCACUGCUAUCUAUCUCUUUCUCACUUGUACAGUUGAUACACGGAACAAGUUGUACGUACGCGUUCUUCGAUAUCCGUAAUUUUAAAAUUGACCAUUUUCUCACUCCAAGAAAUCUGGGAUAUGACAUAAUAGAACUAGAUCUCGUUUCUACUGCGGUGUUGUGGGAAAAAAAGGAUAUAGCUAAAAUAAAAGUCAAUAGUUUAUGAUAAAUAUAGUUUUUAAAUAAUUAAAUAAAAAUAGUAAAGGAUAUUAUAGAUAUUCAUUGUAUAAGUGUGGGAUAAAAUUAACUUAAUUUUUAAAUCAUAAGUCAAUAGUAAUAAAUAUUUGCCAAAGAUUUUAAUGUUGUAGUUUAAAAAGCUACUCUAUGCACAUCCUUGAUUGUACAAGCAUAUUAUUAUUAAAAAAAUUAUUAUCUAUUUUUUUUGUUAGUUACUUCUUUUUCCAAUUAUUGCAAAAUAUAGACAAAACUCAUGCUUGGUCGAACGUUUUUAUUGUUAAUAGAUUAAUGUAAGUUGACUAUAAACUUGGUUGAUAUUCAGUAUUCGACGUAAUGUCUUGGCCGGAUGUGGUUAUUCCAUUGCAUCAAUUAAUUGUACGGUUGAAUACCAUGAUUGUUUUGCCUUAAAACAUUUUCUAAUUUCUUGCUUGGACGUUCUUCAAUAUUGAGAAAUAUAUUUAAUUUUCUCCGAAUUUUUUUUUUCUUUCAUAGUGACAUAAUCCAAAAAUUUAAGGGUCCAUUUGAUUACAAUUCAAAAAUAAUUUAAACAAAUAUAAUCUCAAAAUUUGUGUUGAAGUUUUAAUGUGUUUACUUUUUAUUAUUUAGCCUGACAGCACUCAAUUCCCUCUCCACCUAUGUGAACGGAAUUUAACUCCUAAAUCUCUUGUUUCAAGAAACUAAAAGAGAUUUUACUAUCUUAACUAAAUGGUAACUACAAGCUUUAAAUGUCUUUAUAUAAUAUUUAAAACAAAUAAUUUCAACAACUGAAACAUGUUUAACAAAAUUUCUAAUUAAUAAAAAAUAAAAAUACUUGUUUAGGUGGCGUGAUUUCAAAGGUAAUAUUUACUUAAGCAUUUACAAUUUUAUUUUCCUUUCAGCUAAUUACAUUAUAUCAAGCAGUAACUUGACCAAAAUAAACAUAAAACAAGCUUCAUCAAGAUUCAAUAUUGAUUAUAUUCUGUUAGCUUCUAUUCUGUUACAUUAUACCUGUUAGGCUUGCCACCAAAUAAAAGCUGGGGCAGUUGUCUGUCACUUUGCACGUUCAUCUACUUAGCAUCAGGACAAUGCUUAGAUGCCCAUUUUCGGAACCUGUUAACGGCAGCUUCUUGCUCUGCUCUGGCCACCUUCUCAAUCUCAGAAAGAUAUUCCCGAUCAACCAACAUCCCCUCAGUUUCCAUUUUAACUAGAAUCUCACCAAAUGGUUGCCAGUAUUCCUGAUAAAAGUCAAACAUGGAUUUUCCUGGAACUGGUUUCCCAUCAAGUUUCCAUGACAUUUCUAAAAGUAUUUUUUUUCGAGCUCUUACAAAGCUUCAGUGUGUUUAUUGAAUCAAAGGCAGAAUAAGAGAUCCACAAUUCUCGCUCCUCUCUUUGAAGCUCUUCAACAGGAGCAAUGGUGCUUAUUUUGCCAGCAGAUCCAUCCUUUUUCAGCUUUCUCCUGCCAAAGAUAUCUUUCAUUGAUAUUUUGCCCAUGAAACCCUCAUCUGUGUUGUCCUUAGACAUGUCUUUCUGAUAAGCUUUCUUAUCCUCAGACAUGACUUUCCGAUCACCUGUAAGUGCUUCAGACUGUAACCACCCUCUGUGCGUCUCGAUGAAUCCCAAAGCUGUGCCAUAUGCAUUGUGUCAGCAUGAAAACCAGAAACCUUCAGCCCAUAGUUCUCAAGGACAUGGUUAUCAAAGCUAUAGUUAUGCCAAACCUACACAAAUGAUAGCUGUUAAUAUAAAGAUCAUAUGAAAAAGCAGACGACAUAAUUUUUUUUUCUUUUUUUGUGAUCCAAGUAAACUAAUACGGAGUAAAGCAGUUUGUUUAGCUAAGUAAAGGAAAUUGGAUCAGUUACGUCUAUAGAAGGUGGAAACAGCUAGAAAUCCACCAUAAAAGAGAGAGAGAGAGAGCACAGAGAGAGGAAACAGCUCUGCAACUGAGCAGAGUAUUUCCUUUCUUUGAUCGGUGUUGGAAAUUAGGCCUUGAUUUUAGCCUUAAUCCUAGAGAUAUUUUAGGAUCCUUUCCUCUGUAAAUAUAGAUGAUAGCUGUCAAAUAUUAGCUCUUAAUUAGUUUCCUUUUCUGUUAUAAUUGCUCUAUUUAAAAGGGAUCCUUGUACUGAUUGUAAAUAUGAAGGAUAAUACUUUUUCCUCAUAAUUUCUAAGUUGGUAUCAGAGCAUAGGGAAUCGUGUCUGCAACCAUGUCAGAAGUCACGUCUGAAACCACUCCAACCCCUGCUGCUGCCAUUCCAGAAAAAACAUCUGAGACCCUGCGAAACCACUCCAACUCUCAUUCUGUUCAAAUCACCACCAUCCGCUUAAAUGGCGACAACUUCCUCCGCUAGUCGCAAUCUGUCCGGAUGUAUAUCCGUGGGCAAGGAAAAAUUGGUUACAUCACUGGUGACAAGAAGGUUCCUGCUAAUGAUGAUCCGCUGUAUGCCACUUGGGAUGCUGAAAAUUCCAUGGUUAUGACAUGGCUGGUCAACUCCAUGGAGGAGGAUAUAAGCUCCAAUUAUAUGUGCUAUCCUACUGCUAAAGAAUUGUGGGACAACGUUAGUCAGAUGUAUUCUGACCUGGGCAACCAAUCUCAGGUUUUUGAGUUAACUUUAAGGUUGGGAGAGAUUCGUCAAGGUGAUGAUUCUGUCACCAAAUAUUUCAAUUCUUUGAAAAGGUUGUGGCAAGAUCUUGACCUCUUCAACACAUAUGAAUGGAAAUCCGCUGAUGACUGCAACCACCACAAGAAAACUGUGGAAGACAGUCGUAUUUACAAGUUUCUUGCAGGCCUCAAUGUUGAGUUUGAUGAAGUACGAGGGAGGAUUAUUGGCAGACCUCCUCUACCACCCAUUGGCAAAGUCUUUGCUGAAGUCAGAAGAGAAGAAAGCCGAAGGAGCGUAAUGCUCAGGAAAAGGAGUACCGGUGAGUCAAUUGAGAAUUCUGCCUUAAUUACUGAUGCAGCAGCCUACAAGACUGCAAAUUAUCAGCGCAGGUCUGAUGAUAAGUCACAGGCAUGGUGCGAUCAUUGCCACAAGCCUCGCCAUACACGUGAGAAGUGUUGGAAGCUUCAUGGCAAACCUGAAAUCCUAUAGCCCUUUCUUGUUUAAACUCUUCUCCAUGGAUCAUAGAUUCUGGAGCCUCUGAUCACAUGACUAGUUCUUUUCAUUUAUUUAAUACCUAUUCUCCUUGUUCUGGAAAUCAAAAAAUUAGAAUUGUCGAUGGUAGUUUUUCACCUAUUGCAGGAAAAGGACUUAUCAAACUGACCGAGAAAAUUAAUCUCAAUUCUGUUCUUCAUGUCCCUAAAUUAGCCUGCAGUCUUUUGUCUGUUAGCAAAUUAUCUAGAGAUUCUAAUUGUCGUAUUACCUUCUUUGAAUCACAUUGUGAAUUUCAGGACCAGAACUCGGGGAUGAUGAUUGGACGUGCUAGGAUGAUUGAAGGUCUUUACUACUUUGAUGAAGUACUUAUUAGUAAUAAAAAAGCUCAGAACUUUAUUAGUACUAGUUCAAUUUCUGUUCGAGAAAAAAUAAUGCUAUGGCACUAUAGACUAGGACAUCCUAGUUUCUUUAUUUGAAAUACUUAUUUCCAGAAUUAUUUAAAGGGAUUGAUUGCUCUUCUUUUUAUUGUGAAUGUUGCACUUUUGCAAAACUUCAUCGUUCUACUUAUUUGCCAAAACAGUACCAGGCCUCUAAACCUUUUUAUUUGAUUCAUAGUGAUGUUUGGGGUCCUUCUAAGGUCACUACCCUUUCCGGUAAAAAAUGGUUUGUUACUUUUAUUGAUGACCAUACUCGUUUAUGUUGGAUUUAUCUCAUGCAUAAAAAAUCUGACGUAAAAUAUUUAUUUGAAAAUUUUUACACUAUGAUUGAAAAUCAAUUUCAAACUAGAAUUGGUAUUUUACAUUCUGACAAUGGAACAGAAUAUUUCAAUGAGCACUUGGGUGAGUUUUUGAAUGAUAAAGGCAUUUUUCAUCAAUCUACAUGUCGGAAUACCCCUCAACAAAAUGGCAUUGCAGAAUGGAAAAAUAAACAUUUACUUGAAGUAGCACGUGCCAUAAUGUUUUACAUGCAUAUUCCUAAGUAUUUAUGGGGUGAAGCGGUUUUAACAGCAGCUUAUUUAAUAAACAGGAUGCCUACCAAGGUGUUAAAAUACAAAACACCUCUUGAUUGCCUUAAAGAAUUUUUUCCUGCAACAAGGUUGUUUUCUGAUUUACCUGUCAAAGUUUUUGGGUGUACUGUCUAUGUUCAUGUUCCAAGUCAAUUUCGUUCAAAACUUGACCCACGUGCUAUAAAGUGUGUAUUUUUGGGUUAUUCAUCGAACAAAAAGGGGUAUAAGUGUUUUGACCCUCAAACAAAAACAUUUCAUGUGAAUAUGGAUGUGUCGUUUUUGGAAAAAACUCCUUAUUUCAUAAAAAAUUCUCUUCAGGGGGAGACAAAUGGAGUAGAAGACAAUUUUUGGGACAUUUCUAUCCCACUUCCAAAAGUUAUUUGUCCUAUUCAAGGACCACACUUUUCUGAUAAUGAUCAGUUGAGAAAAACAAGUUCUUUAGAGCCUAGUACAAGAGAUUCUCGUUCAGGGGGAGAAGUACUACAAACAGAUCAACAUGAUCUAAAUUCUGAACUUCAGGUUUAUACUAGAAAGAGAUUUCAUCUGAGAAGUAAAGACUUGAAUGUCAAUCCUACACAAGCCCAAUUUGAAAAACUGAGUUCCAGCACUGAAAUUUCAGGUAAUCAAAUCCCAACUCCAGCUUUGAUUCCUUCGAUUGUUUCCAAUAAUUCACCAAUUAUUUCUGAUCUUGAUGUCCCUAUAGCUAUUAGGAAAGGUGUUCGAAACUGCACCAAACAUCCUAUUGCAAAUUAUCUUUCCUAUCAAAGGCUGUCAAAAAACCAUAAAACUUUCACAUCUAGGAUUUCACACUUGUUUGUUCCAAGAAAUGUACAGGAAGCACUGGAUGACCCGAAUUGGAAAUUAGCAGUCAUGGAAGAGAUGAAUGCCUUGAGGAGAAGUGGUACUUGGGAGAUAGUUGAUCCACCCAGAGACAAGAAAAUAGUUGGGUGUAAGUGGGUGUUUACGAUAAAAUGUAAUGCGGAUGGAAGCGUUGAGAGGUACAAGGCGAGGCUGGUGGCUAAAGGCUUCACUCAGACUUAUGGGAUUGACUAUCAGGAGACUUUUGCUCCUGUUGCUAAAAUAAAUUCUAUCAAAAUUUUGUUAUCUCUUGCAGUGAAUUGUGAUUGGCCUUUACACCAACUUGACGUUAAAAAUGCAUUUCUCAAUGGUGAUCUUAAAGAGGAGGUGUUCAUGAGUCUACCACCAGGAUUUGAGAAGAGUCUUGGUAGUGAUAAAGUCUGCAGAUUAAGAAAGUCAUUAUAUGGUCUCAAACAGUCACCAAGAGCAUGGUUUGAACGCUUUGGAAAGGCAGUUAUCAAUUAUGGCUUCUUGCAGAAUCAAGGGGAUCACACAAUAUUUUAUAAACACUCAAAAGACGGUAAAAUUGCAAUUUUGAUUGUUUACGUUGAUGAUAUCAUUUUAACCGGUGAUGAUGAAACAGAAUUAGCAGCCCUCAAGAAGAGACUUGCAAAGAAGUUUCAAAUUAAGGAUUUGGGAGUCCUUAAGUAUUUCCUUGGAAUGGAAUUUGCAAGAUCCAAGGAAGGUAUAUUUGUGAAUCAGAGGAAAUAUGUUCUUGAUCUCCUUGGAGAAACAGGUUUGCUUGGUUGUAAGAUGGUAGAGACCCCAAUUGAUCCUAACUUGAAGUUACCACCUGCUAAGGUUGAAGAAGUAAAGGAUAGGGAACAGUAUCAAAAACUCGUAGGGAAGUUGAUCUACUUGUCUCAUACGCGACCUGAUAUCGCCUUUGCAGUCAGCAUGGUAAGUCAGUUUAUGCACUCACCAGGGGCUGAGCAUUUUGAGGCAGUCUACAGGAUCUUAAGAUACCUAAAAGGAACUCCAGGGAGGGGCCUAAUGUUCAAAAAACAUGGACAUCUUCAAGUUGAAGUCUACACAGAUGCAGACUGGGCAGGAAGUGUCACUGACAGGAGAUCAACAUCUGGCUACUGUUCCUUUGUUGGUGGGAACCUAGUUACAUGGCGGAGUAAAAAACAGAAUGUGGUUGCUAGAAGUAGUGCAGAAGCAGAAUUCAGAGCUGUUGCCCAUGGAAUCUGCGAGGUUAUGUGGAUAAAAAGAAUUCUUGAAGAACUGAAAUUUACUUUCUCAACUCCUUUGAAAGUCUAUUGUGACAACAAAACUGCUAUUUCUAUAGCUCAUAAUCCAGUUCUUCAUGAUCGAACAAAACAUAUAGAAGUGGAUAAACACUUCAUCAAGGAGAAACUCAACACUGGAAUAAUAUGUAUGACAUAUCUUCCAACAACUGAACAGUUAGCUGAUGUAUUAACAAAGGGAUUGCACAAGAAGCAAUUUGAUAAGUUGACUAGCAAGCUGGCUAUGGAAGAUAUCUUCAAACCAGCUUGAGGGGGAGUGUUGGAAAUUAGGCCUUGAUUUUAGCCUUAAUCCUAGAGAUAUUUUAGGAUCCUUUCCUCUGUAAAUAUAGAUGAUAGCUGUCAAAUAUUAGCUCUUAAUUAGUUUCCUUUUCUGUUAUAAUUGCUCUAUUUAAAAGGGAUCCUUGUACUGAUUGUAAAUAUGAAGGAUACUACUUUUUCCCCUCAAUUUCCCCCUCGAACAUGACUAGUUCUUUUCAUAAAUAUGAAGGAUACUACUUUUUCCUCAUAUUUUCCUCAACUAACAUAAAUAGCUAUCUAAGGGGGAAAUUGGAGUUUUAGGUUUCAUCAAAUCUAUGAACUGUACCACACGGGUAGGAGAACAUAGCAUAGAUGUAGAGGUAAACUUGUAACCCAGUAGACAGCAAUGGGAACCCUAGCUUAAAUUGGAAAAGAGCAACAAAACUUGAGGAGAAAAUGCACAGCGUAGGCAGUCACCCUAAAUCUUAAACCUGUCACUGCAAAGCAAUGACAAUAAAACUCCAUCUAAUUAAACCAUAAUAUGUGAAAAAUCAGUUAUCCAGAAAUUUACUAAAGCGCAUAACCAGCUGCAAGUCCAAUGCUUGAACCGUGCACCAAUCACAUAAUGACUGGUGCAGAUUAUCAAAGAAAUAUCCGCCAAUCCAUUUCUCCAUACUGCUAACCAGAUGAUAAAUAUUCUAAUUAAAAAAAAGCGUGCAUAUGAAAAGGACUAUAAACAAGAAAAAGACGUGGUGAAGGGGGAGGAAGGGCUCACCUUUUUGAUGGAUGGAUCCUCAAAAAAUGGAGCAAAUUCAUUCAAAAGGUCCCUGCCACCACCGUCAAGAAGAUCAACCCAGAUGCAGGACUUCCCACUUCCAAAAUCUGCUUCCGGUCCAGAAUAAAUACUGAAGCAUAUCACUUCUCCAUGAUCAACAGGUGUCUCUUGCUUCACAUCAAUUUUGGCCACCUAUAAACAUGCUAUAAUUAGAUUCCUGUAUGCACAAAACUAGGGUAUCUACAUUGAGUAAAAUGUGUGCUUCUAUACAGGAAGACAUGCAAGGAAGAAGUAAAAAAGAAGGCAACUAAGUACAUCACUCAUUACCUGCCGACCAAAAAAAAAAAAAAAAAGUACCAAUUUCAACUAGAAGAAGAAAAGAACAAAGUACCUCAGUAUCACAUGCAUGGACAAGAUGCUUAUAUUUGUUUGUAAGCAUCCAUACAACCUUCUUUGCGGCAGAAACAUUAUCGACAACCAUAACAUUGCUGUAGAAGCUAGCAAGUUUACUGCGAAGAAUCUCGAGUUUUUCACUAUUUUCAUUUUCUGAAGCCUUUUUGUUCUGGCCAGUACCUUCUGCAGCAUCAUUCUUAGGAUUCUUUUGAUUACUUCGCUUAGAACUAACUAGUUUUGGAGGAGGUGAAUAGGAACUACCAUCUUCAAAGCACUCAAUCUCUGAGUUCCUGAAAUCUGACAAGUUGGGAGCUGUCAAAACAGUGGCUCCUUUUCUCUCUUGAUAUUCUGCAACUUCCUUUUCAUAUCGCAAGCACUCCAUAUUAGUCUUCUUGUCUAAGGGUAUUUGAUCAUUCACAAAGUCUUCGCUUUUUUCUUCACUGCUGGUAACUUCUUGUUUAAUAACAGCCAUCACAGAUCCAGGAUGAUUCGUAGGAUGACCACCUACUGCACCAUUUCGGAAAUCUGCCAGUCCCUAACAAUGGGCUUCUUCUGCUGCUUAAAUUUCUGAAAAUAAUGUUGCUUAGAACUCGUGAUUGAAGAAUAGAAACUACUGUCUUGCAAGCACUCAGUCUUUGAUGAAGUAAGUGAUCUGUCAUGCUUGGAUUCCAGUAUGUUGAUAACAGUGGAAAUGGCAGCUCUUUUUCUCUCUUGAGCUUUUGCAUCUUCCUUCUCAUCUCUCGAGCUCUCUGUAUUUGUCUGACAAGAUUCUACUUCUUUCAUUACAUGCAGUCUGGUCGUUUCUGUCAUCCACCCUCUCGAACUGUGGACAGUACUUUUUGCAGAAAAUGUUUCAUUACUGGAAAUAGAAGGAUUAGGACGAUAGUAGGAUGCAACCUCCAGAAAUUGUUUUUUGUAAAGUUUUUCUUCUCUUUUUUCAUCUGUUUUUUGGCAGAUCAAAAGUUCCUUUUGAGGAGUACUUUCCUUCAAAACUGUUGAGAUCUUGGCAGAAAGGGACCAUCUUAGCUGGCGCAGCACCCACCGAAAGUCUAUAAGCAUAUUUUUUAAUGGGAAAUCUCCUAGCAUUGUUAAAAGAACUAUAAAAUUGGGGAAAACUACUCGAUAUCAUAAUGUUGGGAAAGGUAGUGUUGGUUACGCAGCCUUCUUUCCUGAAAUUUUUUUCAAUGGAAACAAUAUCAACGGCAGCAGAAGGUCAAGCAACCAUGGUAAUAUACAACUUGCUGCAUGCCAAGUAAGAAAGGCGGAAC